AAAGGAAAAAAGUAUUGAAAUCAUUCAAAGUUGUUUUUUAAUGGACAAAACCAAGUCCAGCACAUUUAAAAUAAUAAUAAAAAAAGAUUAAAAGGGAGUGAGUUAAUUACGUGUAAUGAAAAGAUAGAAAAUGAUUAUUUAUUUGUGUAAAGACAAUCAAUGAAUUCAAAAGACGUAAAGGAAUCCUUUUCUUUUUUCCUCGUUUUUGUCAUGAAAUGAUGUUCAAUCUGUAUAAAACCCGAGAGGAAGCUUUUGGGUAAAGGCAAACCAUUAACCCGGACCCAUCUUGAGAUAAAUACUUGACUCUUUGUAUGAAUAGAGGCUUGGAGCGUAUAAAAUGUAAGUUUAUUUUUGUAUUUUAAAAGUAUUUAAAUUUUUUUAUUUUAAAUUAAAUUUUUUUGUUUAUUAUUAAUUUUUAAAAAAUAAUUAAAAAAAUAUCAUUUUAAUAUAUUUCUAAACAAAAAAUAUUUUAAAAAAUAAUCUCUUAUACCAGACACCCCUGCAAUAUUUGCCGAUUAAAAAGGAAGAUGACCCAUAUUAGGGAUGUGAAAUCCUGGAAAUUAAGGGCAUAAAUAAUUUACAAUCUACACUGCAAUAACUUAACUAGGGCAAGGUCAUGAGAUCAAUCAUGGUGGCAUGCGCAUUUUCUCAAUUUUGCACACAGUAGGAUAAUUUUAUUAGUAGAAUAUUGUGCGUUAAUUAUUGAUAAACAUCCGUAAAGAACACUGGACCUCCUUAGCAAAGCCGUUUAGAUAAUUCAUAGGUUACAUUAUUACUAGCGAGAGAUCUAGUUUUAUGGAAAAUUAAUUUAAUUUGGAUAUAUGAACAGUAAAAACAAAAAUUUAUAUUAAUCAAGUGCUAUUAAUUUUUUUUUUAUUAAUUAUUUCUGAAAUCCUCAGAUUAACACGUAAAUUAAUUCGGAAAUAUUACAAGAGUACUCUCACGCCAAUUACAAGCCUAGAAGCAGUUUUAGUAGAUAAGGGUUUACCUGUUAUUGGGUUAAUCAUAAUGGUUUAAAAUAUUUUUUAUUUAAAAAUAUAUUAAAAUAAUUUUUUUUUAUUUUUUUAAUAUUAAUAUAUCAAAAUAAUCUCAAAAUAUAAAAAAAUAUUUUAAACAAAAAAAUAUUUUAAAAUUUAAAAGAUGGCGGUGCAAAUAAACUCAGGAGGGCUCGCUUCUUUUCUCUUACUUCUCCGGUUCAGACAUAAAUAAUUAAUAUCUAGAAUUUACUUUUACUUUUCUAAGCACACCAAAUCAAGAUGAAAGUGAAAAAUAUGUCACUAAAGGUAGUCAGGAAGAGAAUUUGAUUUCGAACUAGUAAUUGUCUUUUAUUUAUAAAUAUAUUAAAAUGAUUUAUUUUAACUUUUUUUAUAUUUAACACCAACAAAUUCAAAUUAUCAUAAAACAUUUUUAAAAAAUAUUAAUUUAAUUUUUUCUUGAAAUAAACACCUUUAUAAAAUGAAUUCAAAGGCAAAAACAACCAAUAUUGUUUUUGGAUAGAGAAGAAAUAAUUAUCUAUAAAAAAGGACAAGAUAAAAAAAAUACUGAUUAAGCAUCCACUAAUUCAAGUUCAGCUAAUAGAUGACACCUUUCUUACUUUAUAUUUCAUAUAAUAAAAUUCGAAACAUCAUCAAUUUUAGUCUCACGGAUUACGCUAAGACCUUUUCGAAUAAAUGAAUCACGCAGCAUAUCUGAAUAUCUUCAAAACACGGGUCAACACCGACUUCAAGUGGUUAAUCAGCAUGCAAAAUCAAAGAAAGAAGGCUCGUCCUGCCGAAUCAUGUAGAAUUUUUGCACCAGAACCAUGACUGCCAUUUUUUCCUUGUCUUCCUAACGCUCAAGAGGUCGUUAACCUACCGGAACAGAUUAGGGUUUAUGCCAGUGGAGAAGAGCCGAACACAAAAUGAAAAAUCCAUGGGAGUCAACAAGCAAAUCCAUAGUGAUGGAUGGCCUCGCAUGUGCUUCAAUUCAGUGUGUUUAUAGAGUUAUUUCAGGACCCACAGAUUAUCCGCUCUAGAUUGCAUGAUUACUUGUCAGACAAGAACCCACAAAACUGGAUCGUCUGAUAUGGAUGUAAGGCAUGAUGGUUGGACAGCUACUGAAGCUGUCUCGGCCAUUUUGUGGGUCCCCACUCCUUGCCAAGAGUUUGGUGGGACAUUUGUAUAAUUCUGGAGGGCCCCCCAAGUCCCAUCAUUCAUGACGUGCUCUAUCUUAAUCCAAUUAAUGUACGAGCAUGAUCUUAGUUUUCACACGCAUAUCUGGAGAGUGUUUUUUUCUCUCUUUCUUUUUUUAUGACAUGAUUAUUGACUGUAAAAUAUAAUUUAUAAACCAGCCCAGUUGAUUUUUUUUUUAAGAAGAAUUGCUUGGAGGAUUUUUAUGGAUAAGAGUUAUCAAACGUAUAUUACCUAAUAUCGGACAAGAUUUUAUAGGUACAUCUUUAUAAGUUUUUCCUAAUAAAUACCAAAUCAAGAAAAACAUACAAGAAUGAUAAAGACUGAGAAAGAUUAGGUAAUAAAAAAUUUAUCAUAACAUGUUCCAGUUAAGACGUGCUGGGUCUAGCGACAGCUAGACCCAACUUUAGUUAAAUUUGGUGGUAUGUCAAACCCCAAACAUGUUGAGUCUGAUCAUUGUUAAACCUAAAGGUUGUUUGGGUCUAGCACUGUUCAUAACUAAAGGUUACUGGGUGUGGCCAACGCUAGUCCCAUAUAUUGUCGGGUCUGACAGAUGAUGCAAGACGCCACCCGGGUCUAACAUGUGUUGCCAAGCCUGAUAGCUUGGCAUGAUGCACUAUUAGGUUAACGGGGUGGGCCUCGCACAUGUUUUCUGAAAGUAUCGAGCCCAAAGAUUUUUGUCAUUGGGCAUGGCCAGAUUCGCAACACUCACAUAUUCAAGCAUAAUACUUGAAUUUAACGUCAUCAAUUCAAUAGAUUUUUAUAUAAAAUCUCAAAGGAUUUACUUCUCAACAAAUAUGCUUCAUUAAACAAGUCUACACUCCGCCAACACCAUUAGGUGUAUUAAAGUCUUUCAUGACUCGUCAUGUCUCUAUUUUUUUGCCGGAUAAAAUGAGUGGGUUACAACUCACAAUACAACUUAAAAUAUCACAAAAGUGAAAUUACACUUCAGUCCCUCAUCUCCAUAAAAAAGACAAGACUCAUAGGUUAACAAUCUUCAUUUUCUAUUGCAUAUAUAUUUUUAGAGCAUCUCUCUGGAAUAUUAUUGUAUUUUUUUAUAAAAAAAAUAUUUAUUUGAGCAUUAAAGAGUCCUCACAUCCACCAAAAAAGAUUUUUUAUAGGUACUGGUAGUGGUCACAAACUACUUUGACCUACCAAACAUCAAGUAUAAGCUAUCAACUACAUUGAGCAGGGAGAAUUAAUGAGGUUAUUAAAACCAAUUGAUUAAUCAAUUAUACAACCUGAGAUUUAUGUUCUUAAACUACUUUGAUUUUUGGGACUUCAUCGUCCUUUUCGUUCAGAAAUUAGUAAUGGAAUCAAUAAAUAGCAUAUUUUCAGGAACAUAUCAAGCUUUAAAGGUUUAGUCAUUGUAUCAGCAACUUGCUCCUGCAUAUGACAAUGCACUAUCUCUAAAAUUCUUAGCCUUGAAGUCCCUUUGGUUUGGCAUCAUCAAUAACCUUCUUUUGUCCUUCUCUGAGUUUUGCUCCUGCUGCUACUGUGGACAUCCCUUGUUCUAUCAAGCUCCGAUACUCACUCAACCGCAAAAAAUUCUUUACGACCAUACACAAGUGAUUGUAGUGUCCAUCAAGCUUUGAAAUUGUUGGUUGGACAAAGUUACUUUCGGUUGUUAUUAUCGUUUUGUUUGUUUUUUGUAUUUUAAAAAUAUUUUUUUAAAAAAUUAAUUUUUAUUUUAUUUUAUUUUUUGCUUCAAAUUAAUAUUUUGUACUGUUUUUAAAUUAUUUUGAUGCACCGAUAUCAAAAAUAAUUUUUAAAAAAUAAAAAAUAUUAUUUUAAUAUAUUUCUGAGUAAAAAACACUUUUAAAAAAAACCACAACCACAAUCCCAAAUAGACUAACAUGUUUAUGUUUAGAAGAUUGUUGCUUCUCAAGUCUAGAUCAAAUUAUAAAAAAUUAUGGUUAAACCUGAUUUUUAAAAUAUUUUUCAAUCUAUUUUUAUUUAUAAACAAAUUUAAAUUAACAUGUUUAGAUAUUUUUUAAUAAUUUUAACAUGCUAAUAUUAAAUGUAAAAAAUAUUUAAAAAAAUAUUUUAAUAUAUUUUUAAUUACAAAUUACUUUUGAAAACAUCUUCCAUCGUAUUACGAAAAUUGUUACUAAUCAGGAUUUUCACAAUUUCCUUUUUCAGUUUUUACGAAUUAGAAUGUGGAAUUUGGAGACUGCAGCACCAAUCUACCCCGGUGAAGAAAAAGUCCAAUUUUUUUUUGGAUUUGGACAGGAAAACUUUAAACUUUUGUUGCCUAACAAAAAGUCAGUAACAGUUGAAGGCACUAAACAAGGAGAGAAACUAGCCAGCCAAGCCCACCUCCACCCUCCACCCUCCACCCUCCACCCCCUUCCCCAGAGAGAGAAGCUAACGAUAACGCCAAGCAGACUCACCCAUUCCUUACAUAUAUUGAUAGAGAGAGUGAGUGAGUGUGAAAGGUACAACCUUUGCAUCCAUAUACAGGUUAGAGAGAGAGAGAGAUGAAAUGAGGGCUUGCCUUGUCAGCCAUUAGAGCUUCAAUUCGUAGCUCGGGCCCGACCCUUUUUAAUUCACAUAAAGACUACACAGUUUUCACUGUUUUUGUUUCAAUAUCUCAUUAGAAAACCAUAAAAGAUCUCUCCCUUUUCCUUUUGCUUGUUUAUUUUUUUGAAAAGCAAAUAAGAAAGAGAGUGGGAGAAGGAAGAAAAAAAGAUAUCUUUCUUGCUACAAAAUCCUAGGCCUUUUGAUCCUAAGAUCCCCACCAUUUAUGCUGAAAGCUGAACUGGGUUGGCUGCAGUUUUCUCUAUUGAUUCAUGAAUUCCAUGGUUUUUUUAGCCUUAUGGUCUCAAGGAGUUACGGGGAACUGGUGCAGUUGUUGCCUUAGUAUCUCUUCUUUGACGAGUGAUUGGUUAUCUGGCUUUAACAGGUAUAUCUCUCGUUCUUCAAUUGUUAGCUUAUUCUGUGUGUUGAUUUGCUUGCUUAAAUUGGCGUCUCUGCUUGUCUGAUAUGUGAAUUCCUGCAGAAAUUUUCUCUUUGGUAAUUUGGCUUCUUAUAUUUAGAGUCGUUGCCUUGUUUCUUCUAAAUGAGUACUGUUGCUUCUAUGUUUGUCCCGGGAUUAGGAUUUCUAUGAAUUGUAUGUGAUUGAAUUUCCAGGCUCAAAAAAUUCCUACAAACUAAAAUUCCACAUUAAGAGAUUCAACAAACCAAAUUCAUAUUUAGUUUGUGACGUAUCAUAGCUCUUGAAUUCUUUGAAUACUGAAACGAUUGGUGUUCUUUCUAGUAGUAAUUACUUUUCUCUAUCAUACUCACAGUUGAGUUCCUUUUAACAGGAGAAUGGUUUGUUAAACAAUUUCUUAUUAUAAAAAAAAUACCACAAUCGUUUUAGAGUUCCCAUUCUUCUUCCAGUUGUUAAAUGUUGCACUAUUUGGUUGAUGCUUGUCAUAGAUUUGGUUCUUUGACAAUUCACAAUUGUGAUCCAAAUUUCUAAAGUAUCCCCUGAUGUGCAGGUGUUUACAUGAUGAUAUUAUUCUGAAAUUUCAAUAAGGUGGAGGGAUACCAAUAUGUCAGCAUAUUUCAGAUCAAGUGGAGUAUUUGAAUUGGGGCUUGCUGGAAUUUUGCUUGUUACCUUCCUAUUGAUAUUUACCACAGAGGGGUUGAAUUCUGAUGGGCAUCACCUCCUAGAGCUGAAGAAUGCCCUCCAUGACGAGUUCAAUCAUCUGCAGAAUUGGAAGUCCACUGAUCAGACACCAUGCAGCUGGACUGGCGUGAGUUGCACUUUAGACUAUGAGCCUUUGGUCUGGUCUCUUGAUUUGAACUCAAUGAAUCUUUCUGGGACACUGAGCCCCGGUAUUGGUGGUUUGGUCAACCUUAGAUAUUUUGAUCUUUCUCACAAUGAAAUCACCGGAGAUAUACCUAAAGCGAUUGGAAAUUGUUCCCUGUUGCAAUACUUUUAUUUGAAUAACAAUCAGUUGAGUGGGGAAAUUCCUGCUGAACUGGGUAGAUUGUCUUUUCUUGAACGUUUGAAUAUAUGCAACAACCAGAUAUCUGGUUCACUUCCAGAGGAGUUUGGCAGAUUGUCUUCAUUGGUUGAGUUUGUGGCUUAUACCAACAAGCUGACUGGCCCGUUGCCUCGUUCCAUAAGGAAUCUUAAGAAUUUGAAAACAAUCCGUGCAGGGCAGAAUCAAAUUUCUGGUAGUAUUCCUGCUGAAAUAAGUGGUUGUCAAAGCUUGAAAUUGCUUGGUCUUGCCCAAAAUAAAAUUGGAGGGGAGCUGCCAAAGGAGCUUGCGAUGCUAGGGAACUUAACUGAAUUGAUUUUAUGGGAGAACCAGAUCUCGGGGUUAAUACCAAAAGAGCUUGGGAACUGUACAAACCUUGAGACACUUGCUCUUUAUGCAAAUGCCCUUGCUGGACCAAUACCAAUGGAAAUUGGGAACCUGAAGUUUCUGAAAAAGCUGUACCUCUAUCGGAAUGGAUUGAAUGGAACUAUUCCAAGAGAAAUUGGAAAUCUUUCAAUGGCAACAGAAAUCGACUUCUCAGAGAAUUUUUUGACUGGCAAGAUCCCAACUGAGUUCAGUAAGAUAAAGGGUCUACGACUUUUGUACCUCUUCCAGAACCAACUUACUGGUGUCAUACCAAAUGAGCUUAGUAUCUUGAGGAACCUGACUAAGCUUGACCUCUCAAUUAAUCACCUCACUGGUCCUAUUCCUUUUGGGUUUCAAUAUUUGACUGAAAUGCUUCAGUUACAGCUUUUUAACAACUCUCUGAGUGGUGGCAUUCCUCAGCGGCUUGGACUUUAUAGCCAACUCUGGGUGGUUGAUUUUUCAGAUAAUGAUCUGACUGGAAGAAUACCUCCUCAUCUUUGCCGUCAUUCUAAUCUGAUUUUGCUGAAUCUGGAUUCUAACAGGCUAUAUGGAAAUAUCCCGACUGGGGUCCUGAACUGCCAAACAUUGGUACAACUUCGUCUUGUUGGAAAUAAGUUUACAGGUGGCUUUCCUUCAGAGUUGUGCAAAUUGGUGAACCUUUCUGCUAUUGAACUGAACCAGAAUAUGUUUACUGGUCCACUUCCACCAGAGAUGGGGAACUGCCGAAGGUUGCAAAGACUUCAUAUUGCAAACAAUUACUUUACUUCAGAGUUGCCAAAGGAAUUAGGUAAUCUGUCUCAACUUGUGACUUUUAAUGCAUCAUCAAAUUUGCUCACCGGAAAGAUUCCACCUGAAGUUGUUAACUGCAAGAUGCUUCAACGACUCGAUCUCAGCCACAACAGUUUUUCUGAUGCUUUACCAGAUGAGCUUGGAACUCUUCUUCAAUUGGAGCUUCUUAGGCUUUCAGAAAAUAAAUUCUCUGGAAAUAUACCCUUGGCAUUAGGAAAUCUCUCCCAUUUGACUGAAUUGCAGAUGGGUGGCAACUCAUUUUCUGGUCGAAUUCCUCCCUCAUUGGGCUUGCUUUCAAGCUUGCAGAUUGGAAUGAAUCUCAGUUAUAAUAGUCUUACUGGCAGCAUACCACCAGAGCUUGGCAAUCUUAAUUUACUGGAAUUUCUCCUGCUCAAUAACAAUCAUUUGACCGGUGAGAUUCCCAAAACAUUUGAAAAUCUGUCGAGUUUACUGGGAUGCAACUUCUCAUACAAUGAGCUCACUGGGUCUUUGCCUUCCGGAUCACUAUUUCAGAACAUGGCCAUCAGCAGCUUUAUUGGAAACAAAGGGCUUUGUGGUGGGCCUCUUGGCUACUGCAGUGGAGAUACAUCUUCUGGUUCUGUUCCACAGAAAAAUAUGGAUGCUCCUCGAGGUAGGAUCAUCACAAUUGUUGCAGCCGUUGUUGGUGGUGUUUCUCUCAUUCUGAUUAUAGUGAUACUAUAUUUCAUGAGACAUCCCACUGCGACAGCCUCUUCGGUACAUGAUAAGGAGAAUCCAUCUCCAGAAUCAAAUAUCUACUUCCCUCUAAAGGACGGAAUCACCUUCCAAGAUCUGGUUCAGGCCACCAACAAUUUUCAUGACAGUUAUGUUGUUGGAAGGGGAGCUUGCGGAACAGUUUAUAAGGCAGUUAUGCGUUCUGGGAAAACCAUUGCUGUGAAAAAGCUUGCUUCUGAUAGGGAGGGGAGUAGCAUUGAGAACAGUUUUCAGGCUGAGAUUCUGACUCUCGGAAAGAUUAGGCACCGAAAUAUUGUGAAACUUUAUGGCUUCUGCUAUCACGAAGGUUCCAAUCUGCUUCUUUAUGAGUACUUGGCUAGGGGGAGCUUGGGUGAACUGCUUCAUGGGCCCUCUUGUAGCUUGGAAUGGUCAACUCGAUUCAUGGUUGCUCUUGGAGCUGCUGAAGGUCUUGCUUAUUUACAUCAUGACUGCAAACCAAUUAUUAUUCACCGUGACAUAAAGUCAAAUAAUAUUCUACUAGAUGAUAACUUUGAAGCCCAUGUUGGUGAUUUUGGUUUGGCAAAAGUGAUUGACAUGCCCCAGUCCAAAUCCAUGUCAGCAGUCGCAGGAUCAUAUGGGUAUAUUGCACCUGGUGAGCCCUUCCUCAAUUCAGAUUUAAUAAAAUUAUCUUUCUUUUGUUAAUGAUGGUUUUAUUUCUUUUAAGGUUGUAUAAGUUAUUUAUUUUCUUGAUAUUUCUCUGCUGCUGAUAUAGUUUAACUAAAUGAAAAAAGUAGUAGAUGUCAACUUUGUUUAUCAGAGAAGAAAACUUUCAUUUCUGUUAUAAUACGUUCUUAACAUUCACACACCAUCUGCUUAGCAUAGUCAAACUCAAUGGAUGUUAGAGAAGAGAUAUAAGCUUCUAACUUAUUCGUGGCUUGCCUCUUAUUCACUGCAGAAUAUGCGUACACAAUGAAAGUUACUGAAAAAUGUGACAUCUAUAGCUAUGGAGUUGUUCUAUUGGAGUUGCUAACUGGAAAAACUCCUGUACAGCCACUAGAUCAAGGAGGUGAUCUUGUCACAUGGGCGAGACAUUAUGUUCGGGACCAUUCAUUGACAUCCGGGAUACUAGAUGAUCGAUUGGACCUUGAAGACCAAAGCACUGUUGCUCACAUGAUUAGUGCAUUGAAAAUUGCUCUACUUUGCACGAGUAUGUCACCUUUUGAUCGGCCAUCGAUGCGGGAAGUUGUGUUGAUGCUUAUUGAGUCUAACGAGAGAGAAGGUAAUUUGACUCUGUCUUCGACUUAUGAUUUUCCGUGGAAAGAUGAUAUUUCACGAAAAUAGGUGACCAUUUCCCAGAUUUUAUUAACUGAGAUGGUUUUUCGGUGCUGAUUCUUCCUGAUAUGAUUUGCAACAGCAAGUGAUUACAUCAUGUACAUUUUUUUAUAAGAAAAGAUCCUUACCUUUUCCGUUAUGGCUCAUGAGGGUAAUUGAUGUUACUCUCAAAAUCUGUAUUUUGUCUUGCAAUCAGUAUAGGCUCGACCUUUUGUACAGAUAGAAGUACCAACCUCCCAUACAUGUAUUUUACAGAUCUUGAUGUGAUAAAGUUUCAUGAGUACUCACCAAAUACCAGUUCCUGUUAUUUCUUCUGUCAUUAAUUUUAAUUUUUUAAGCUAUAUAUAGCUAUAAAGUCUGAAUUGUAGCUACUGUUACUCUCUAUCUCCUCUGAUUAUAAUUUACGAGGUUAACAUAACUUUCUGAUGGUGUUGGUUGCUAUGGUGAAAUCUUACUAAAUGUCCCUUCAUAUAUGGAUGCGAGAAGCGAUUCUUUAGACAUUGCUUUCCAAAUUUCUUAUAUGGGCAUGCCUGUAGCCAGAUUGAAGAGGUGGACUUGGUAAACCAACUUCAAUGGAGAAAUGGGUAAUUUGAAUGGACUCUUAGUUUAAAUAGUAAUGGCUACUUGAUAGGUAUUAAGAGAUUAUGAAUUCAAUCAUUGUCACUUGGUUUCUCUGUAGAUUUACAGGAAAAGAUGGAAAAUAACACAGCAAAAAUGGGUAACCAUGAAAGAAAAAGAAAAUAACAAGCAAGCAAUAUUAUUGCAAUUAUGUCUUCCUUAUUAUUUAUGAUUGUUUAUUGAAUUGGAAAACUUCCAUUACCACUGAUACGCCCGAUUCCAAUUGCUGUUCCCGUUGCUAGAAUCGAACCCAUCCUCCCUGACAGGCCACAUGAAAUGCUUUCUGCUGCAUCUGUUCUCGUCUCUUUUUGCACUAAAUGCAUCAAUAUCUGUUUUAAGGUGGAACUGUUGUUUCCGAGACAGAUAUUGGACUCCGAGGUCCUUGCUUUUUGUCCUUGCAGUGAACCAUCAAUUUGUUUGCCGGGUCACCAGGCAAGUCAUUAAAUCGAUGGAUAUUAAUUAUUAAUCAAUAAAAAAGAAAUUAAAAACUACACAACCAUUUGUUAUCAAACUGUUAUCUCAUUGACAACCAAAACUCUGUGAUACAAAUAUUAUAUUCAUCAUAUUGUAUGUACAUGCUUAUUUUCCAAACAAAUUCAACGACAAUAACAAAAGUAAUCUAUGGAUAUAAAUGCAUUCGGUACGAGAAUAGAAACUAAAAAUCACUCAGUUUCCCAUCUGUAUUUUCUCACCCACUUGGCUUUAUCCCAGCUAAUAAAGAACCCAUCUUCUUCCACCAUCCAAAACAGAGUUUCAUGAUUCCCAUCUCUACGAGGUUGAAAUGCAUGCCAGGAUGCAAAAAAUCUUUCCCAGAUAGCUACACAGUAGUGUAGCUUCCUCUUUGACACCCUCCAUUUGUAGACUUCACCAUUAACGAGUGACUGCUCUCCGAUAUCAAUAUUGUUGGAUGAGCAGCUGACAUUCAUUGCUUUUGAGCUUUUAGGCAAGGCAUUGAUAACGUAAACAGUGGGUAAAGGAUGGUCAUCAUGCUCAUUUGUUGUUGCAGUACUCAAAAAGCACAGUUGGAGAACAAGGAAGAGAAGAAAGUUGAUCCAAGAAGUCAUCAUUUUGUUAGGACUGGUGCUCUGCCUGAUUAGUCUGCUAUCCUUUUUAUAAGAACUUUGAAAUAUUGGAAUUAAUCUUGAAGUUUUAAGAAAAUAUAAAACUGAGUUUAUUUAAAUAGUGAGUUUAAAAAAAAUGCAUGAAUGAUUGUUUCCACUAGAAUAAAAAAGUUUAGUCAAUGUACUCGUCGUGGGAUUAGAAACUUAGCAAUAAUUUCUUUUUUGUUAAGUAUAUAUAAAGAUUUAGUUAUUAAAUCGAGACAGACAAAUAUAGAUAAAGAAGAUAUGUUUCUUUCGUAUAUUUUAUUUUUUUUAAAAAAAAAGUAGAAAUCCAUUCAAAUAUCAUCAUAAAAUAUAUUUAUUUUAUUUUCAUUUCCUGUCUUUCUAAUCAAACAUAUUUCUAUAUCUUGUGUAUCUUUUUUUUUUCAAUUACACCCUCCAUUCAAGGAAGGAAAGAGACAUUUCCUUUUCUUUUUGUGCGGCUCUGUAUGUUGUUGAUUAAAGGAUAAGUACCGUUUUGAAAUCAUAAUUCUUAUAUAAUUAAAUAUUAAUUCUCCCAGACAAAACUUUCCCGGCAUGCGGUUCGAAUCACUCAAGUGUUCAUGGAUAAAGGGACCGUAACCAUGAUUCCAUGAUGACAGUCUAAAUAGUUAUACCUAACGGGCUAACACCAACGAAGAACAAGUGGAGUAAUCUCUUAUGGGACGAAGAAACACCAAUUAAAUAUCCAGGGAUUGUUGGGGAGGUGGGUUGCUAAGACAGUGGAAAUUAAGGUAGGCAUAUGCAAUUAUGAUCCUGCGGAGUUAAAGUUGGGCUCAAUUUAGCAUGGAUGGGUUACUAAAGAAAAGUCAUCCAAGAGCAUAUGGAGGGGGCUCUCAAUGCUGCCGUCUCUGGGCGUUUCUGUGCUGAUGGUGAAACUGCUAUUCAUUUUACUGUGAAGGAAAUAUGUUCAAAGGGAAGGGAGUUUCUGUGCUGAUUUGCUCGCAAAUAUUGGAGCGAGUGGGAACUGUGCAUCAGUUGUUUUUCACCAUUUUCACCUCCUGGUCCUGCGUGGUGGAGUUUGCUCUGGGCGGAUUUUUGUGCCUCAGCUAUAUUGCGUGUAAGGAAAUGCAGUAAAAGUUAAGAUUGAGGUUAAGUAUAACUUAAGAAUGCAUAAACUUCACCCAUAAAAAAUAGCUUUUUUAUUUAUAAAUAAAUAUAAAAAAGUAAGAGAUUAAUGUCUAGAUUCUUAUUAAUUUAUUUUCCACAUAUACAAGUUAUGUAAUUUGUUUUACAUACUUAACAUUAAAUCGGUAGAUAUGGCAGAUUUUAAUGAAUCAUGAUACCAAGUUUUUUGGGUACCCAAGAUCUUAUACUGUAAAUCAUAUAUAUUAUCGCCGAAAUUGUAGUAUAUAUUGUCUUAUAAUAUAAUGACCUUAAUAUUAAUCAUAAGUAAUAAUAACUAAAAAAAAAUAUGUUAAUCACAUAAAUUAGAUAUUUGAAAAAAUAUUAUUUUAAAUAAAUAUAUUUUGUAAAGUACAAUAUUUGAACCGAUUGAAGAUAAGUUUUUGGAAUAAUCUUACACCUAUAAAUCGAAAAGACUAGGAAAUAAGAAAAAAAAUGAGAAAAUUAGUAAUAUUUUAUUAAUUAUUCCAAAAACUCACUUUAAAAAACCUAGAAGAUAGUAAUGAAAUAUCACUUAGUUAUUAUAUUAACAUUAUAUAAUUUCUUCUUAAUUACCAUAAAGUUUUCGUGACGAUGAUUAAAGCAAGUCAAACCUGCUCCCAUACCUGUCCUCUAAUUCCGAUCAAAUUAAAUCCAGUCUGAUUGGGGCUGUUAAUAUAAUUUUAUUUUAUUUUUUUCAUAGGAGUUUAUUUUAUAUAUAAAAGAAAGGUUCGGAUUAAUUUUGUUUUUUAAAAGGAGACACUACUGUUAAUUUUUUUUUUAAUGUGAGUGUCUGGGUCAAUUUGCGCGUACCUCGACUAAUCCUAUAGGCUCUGAAGUUAACGAUCAUGUAAGCCGCUAGUGGUCAUGAUUCAUGAGGUUUUGUGAGACUCGAACUAGUGAUUUUUAGAAAACAAAUCUAGAACCUGACCAGUUAAUGCUAUACCUCUCAUGGUUCUAUUAACCAUUUUAUUGACCCUGUACAUGUUAGUUAACACAUUAAAGAGAUUCAUAAUUAAAUUUUAGAAUUGCAAUUCCAACAUGUGAGAGUAGGCAACGAGUAGCCAUGAACACACCUUUUAAUAUCCCUUUCGUUCCUUGCUUACCAAGGCAUUGUUUCUUGGGUUAUGAAAGAUACGAGAAAACAUCAUUGAAAAGGGGAGAGGAUAGAGGAAGGGUCGCCAGUCUAGCCAUAUUUUAACUAUAAAAAGCUUGAUUUUAGCGCUAUUUGAUUUGUAUUGGAGAUAGCAGUUCAAUGAAAGUGAUGGUUCUGAUCUUUGGAUAUACUGAAAAAAAAAUAUCAGGCUCAUAAUUGUUUUUUAAUUUGAUUGAAUUUUUUAUUUUUAAAAUAAUUAAAAAAUAUUUUGAGGUUAAAAGAGGCUUAUCAUAGUUCAUAAAAGCAAUAAAAUGCUUUUAAAAUGUUUUCAAGUAAAAAUAAAUUGAAAUUGAGUUUUUGAAUCCAAUUUAAAAAUAUUAAGUAAUACUCUAAAAGAUGUGGGAAAACUACCACGCCUUUCACUUUCCUAUCUUUAAUAUAUUAUAUUAUUAUAAUUAUUAUAUUAUAUUAUAAUAUAUACUAAAAAUUAAAUGAAAUGCUAAAAUUUUUUUUGAGUUUUUUUGUUUUUUUUAAUGAAAUUUUUUGUUUGAUCCUGGGUUUGAUGGGUUAGUCUGGUUUGACGCGUUAACUUGAAUUUUUUUUUAAUUAAUUUUUUUCAUUUAGUUUAGUUUGUUAUUGUUAAAUUUUUUUAUAUUUAAUUAUCAGAUUUUCAUGACACGUAUCCCGGACUUGACGGGUUAACCCAAUUAAUUUUGGGUAAACCCGUCAAUUGUUUUUUUCUAUUUAGUUAUCAAACUUUCAUGACGCGAAACCUGGUUUGAAGGGUUAACCCAGUUAAUUUAGAUUUUUUUCUUUUUCUUUAUUAGUUUUUUUCUUCCUAUUGGUUUUUUUUCCUUUGUUUUUUUUAAUUAAUCUAUUUAAUUAUCACACUUUUAUGACACAACUUUAUAGCUCGACCCACAUUCAAUGCUCUAGGGUCCGGUGUUGCGGCCAGGCUCACUUAAACUUAAGUCAUGUAAGUUUAAUGUUAUUAUUAAUAUUAUAAAUAGUAUUCUUAAGUCAAGCGUUGCAGCUAGACCCAAGGCUUUUGGGUAUAUCUUUGCAGAAAGACCUAACACUCUUAGAUCUUAGCAUUUUUUGAUAUUUUUUUAUGCAAGAAAAAAAAAUUAACCCGUGGCGUAUGCCUUUGUUUUUUUUUUCCUUUUUAAGCCUUUUACUUUGAAUAACACAGUGCAAUCUACAGUGAAAAAGCUUAUGCUUUUAGUUUAUUUUUUUCUAUAGUUUUUUAAUAUUAAAUUUUUUCUGUUUAAUUAUCAUGCUUUCAUGACACGGAUCCCAGGUUUGAUGGUUUAACCCAGUUGAUUCAGAUUUUUUUUUCUUUUUCUUCAUUAGUUUUUUCCUUCCUGUAGGUAUUUUUCUCUUUGCUUUUUCCUUUUUAAUUAAUCUUUUUUUUUAAAAAAUUAGUUCAUUAAUAUUAAAUCUUUUUUCUAUUUAGUUAUCACACUUUCAUGACACAAAUCCCAAGUUUGACCGGUUAACCUGAUUUGACGAGUUAAUCCAAUUGAUUCAUAUUUUUUUUUCUUUUUUCUCAUUAGUUUUUUUUUUCUAUUGGUUUUUCUUUCUUUGUUUUUUUUCUUUUUAAUUAAUUUAUUUAAUUAUCACACUUUUAUGACACGACCUUGCAACCAUACCUACAUCCAAUGCUAUUGGGUCUGGUAUUGCAGCCAAACCCACUUAAACUUGGGUAAUGCAAGUUUAAUGUUAUUAUUAAUAUUAUAAAUAUUACUCUUAGGUCAGACGUUGCAGCCAAACUCAAGACUCUUAGGUAUAGCUUUGCAGAAAGACCUAACACUUUUAAAUCUUAAUUAUUUUUUAUUUUUUUUACGCAAAACAAAUUAACUCGCGGUAUCGCGCGGGUCAUGUAACUAGUAACUAUGAAUUACAUGUUGCUUGAUCAAUUUUUUUUUAAAAAAAGUCGAAACAACCCUUGAUUUUUUUACUUUUGUUUUUAACUAUUUUUUAAAAUACAAUAAAUAUUUGGGGUAGUACCUCCAAAAGUUUAUUUUAUUGUAAUUUAUACAUAAUUUCUUUUCCUGCUAAAUUUAAAAUUGAUGAGUUAUAUUUGUAUUAUGCAUUUAUAAGAACAAAAAUAAUAUGUAUUUAGCAACCAAUAUAGAUUAAAAAAAAUAAAAAAUAAAAAAGAUGAUUUAAGUAAAAUAUUUGCAUUUAUAUCUAUCUUUUACUAUUUACAUGAGAAAAUUAACUUUUUACUCUUAUCUUUAAUUACCAUUCAAAAUUAAUUUAUCAAGUAAUACAAUUUUUUAAUUUAUUAUAUUAAACACAAACAUAUCUUUCCAUUUCUUAGGUAAAAAAAUUCAUGAUAUUAAAAAAACAAAUCCAUAAUGACAGUGUCUUCUUAUCUUGCAUUCAAAAUCAAUUCGAAAUACUAUGCACAGUGCAGUACGGUUACAUCAAAUAAUACAAGUAGCAAUAACAAUAAAUUUAUUAUUAUUAUUAUUAUUAUUAUUAGAUAGAAUUGUAUGUGCUAGAUUAAUGCACUUGCUCCGACACUACAGCAAACACGAACAUAAGAAAUCACUCAGUUUCCCAUGGAUCUUCCAGCACCCAACUGGCUUUAUCCCAGCUACGAUAGAACCCAUCUUUCUUCACCAACCAAUACACAGCUCCAUGAUUCUCAUCUCUAGGUAGUUCAAAACCAUGCCACGAUUCAAAAUAUCGUUGCCAUUGAGCUGCGCAGGAAUAUAUAUCCUUUCCCUUGACUUUAAAUUCGUAGGCUUCACCCACAGAAAAUGAGCGCGCGCCCAGUUUGAUGUUCUUGGAAGAACAGCUGACAUUCAGUGGUGGUGAGUUCGGUGGCAAAGAAUUGAUGAUUUGAACAGUUGGUAGAAUCUGCUCGGCCUCAUCUUCAAUUGGUCUCGCACUCAAAACACAGAGUGCAAAGUUGAAGAAGAGAAGAAAGUGGAUCCAAUCAGUGGCCAUGAUGUAUUAAGAGAAAGCAAAUUUCUUUCGACAGUGUGAAGAUAUUAUUUAUCAAAAUACAUGCAGUAGAUAUCUUCUGUAGAGAGAGCAUAUAUAAUAUCGAAAAACUUGCAACUAUAGAAAUUUAUAAAGUCCAGCAUUAAUUUUCUUUUAUAUUCUUUCUUUAGUAAUUGAAAUUUCCACAUUUUCUUAUAUAGAAAGUCCAAGAAUUCAAGAAAUUUCUGAAUAUCUUUCCUGACAUGCAUCCGAAGAUUUCUAUUUACAGGGUGGCUUGAGAAUCAAAAUAUUAAUUAUUCAUAAUUCAUGAAUGAAUAAUCAUAGUUAAUGAAAAUUUAUAAAUACAUUGAUUCUUAUCAUAUCAUAAUUAAUGUAUUUGUUUAUGUAUCAAAAUAUUUCAGGGAAUAAAAAUUACUAAUCAAAUAUGGACUUAAUAAUAAAAAAAUAUUUUUCAUUAAUGAAACUCAAGCCAUUGUGCACAAAACUUUUAUUAUUCAAAGAUUCUUUGAGAACAAUUUAUGAUUCAUCUUUAGUUGAUUUUUAAACAUGUUGAUAUUACAUGUUAAAGUACUCAUAUUGAAUUGCAAAAUUCAACAUGGUUUUAGCCCAAAUAUAAAUGGACCUCACAUUUAAUUUGAUCUCAAAAGUGUUUAUUACAUGUUUUAUAACAUAAAAUAAUUUUUAAAAUAAUUUUUAAACUUAUAUAGAAUUAUUUUUUGCCAACCCAUUUUUUAAUUAUCCAGUUCAACAAUUUUCUUCUUUAACUUGAAUAAUUUUGAUUUAAAUAAAAAAGUUCAAUUUUAAAGCCAAAAUCUUUCAUGUUAAUUUUGUUUAAUCCGAUAAAUAGUGCAAAUUAUUUAUAAUAAUUAUCAAAAUUAAUUAUAAAUUAAUUUUUAUUCUAAAAUCAACUAUGAAAUGCGGGUUGAAGGAAGAGUGUUUCACAUAGAUUUUGUAGACUUUUCUCCACCUAGGUUUUUUUUUCAAAUUACUUUUUCCUUCCUCUGUUUUUUCAUAUACUUUAAGGUUUAGGUUUGAUAUAUAUUUCAUAAAAUUUAUGAAUCUUGUUUAAGUAUGCAUCUCAUUAAAAUGAUGUUGAAAUCAUAAGAGAUUAAUUGCAGUUUGCACGAAAAAACAAGAAAUAAAACUUUAAGAAUAAGAAAUUAAUCAUUAACAAUAAAUUUUCAUCUAAUUCAAAUUUCAAGUGCUUCGAUAAACAAAUGUUCUUAACAAACUAGUUUAGAUAUUAUUUUUACAAUUUGUUCAAGUAUAUGUUUUUCAAAAAAGCUUUAGUAUGAUUUUAUGACUAUAUAAUUAUUAUGCAAAUUUAUGUUUAUGUUAAAAUAUGUUUAGUUCAUGGUUGGAAUACAUUCUAUAAUCUUGAUUCUAGUAAUUCAACCAAUAUAGUUAAUAAUCUUAAAAUUGUUUAGUUUUAUGCUCAAUUUUUUUUACCAGUAACAUAAUUAAAAAUUUCCUAGUUAUUAUUUUUCAUACAAUUCUCUAAAAAUUAAACUAAACAAUAACUUAUCCGAAUUGAAAUUAGAUUCUUUUAUUUAUAUCAUUAUUCUCAACACAGUAUGCUCUUUGCAGGUUAUUGAAUGAAAAACAGUAUCCUUCUUUUGCAAUAAGUUCCUUUUAUGGACCGUGAAAAGAGGCAGAGAGAAAAAAAAAAAAAAAAAAACUCCACUACUGGUAUCCUUGAUAUUUAUUUACAAGUAUAGCGGUUAUUAAUAAAAUGAAAUAUAGAUUUAGUCCAGUUACUGUCUUUUGCAGGAGAAUGCUUUUGUCUCGUGUUUUACAUAUGUUUUAUUUGGAACACGGUUAAAAUUAUAUUUUUUAAAAUUUUAAUUUAUUGUUAUAUUUUAAAAUUUUUUUAAUGUGCUAAUCUUAAAAAUAAUUUAAAAAAAUAAAAAAAUAUUAUUUUGAUGUAUUUUUAAGCUAAAAGCACUUUGAAUCGCAAGCACUACCACAAUCCUAAACAAGUCCUAAACAUAUUUGAAAAAUGGUAAUGUUAUACUUAUAUGUGUUUUUUCAAAAAUAUUUUUAAUUUUUUAAAAAAAUAAAUUGAUAUUUUUUAAUGUUUUAUGAUAGUUUUAAUAUGCUAAUAUCAGAAAUGAAAAAUUAUUUUAAAAAACAUUUUACAUCUUAAUUCUAUACGAAUAUUAAAAUGGUGUUUGGAAAUAUAGUAACGUUUAUUUUUUAAAAUAUUUUUUGUUUAGAAAUAUAUUAAAAUAAUAUAUAUUUUUUAAAAAAAUUAUUUUUAACAUUAACCCAUUAUAACAAUCUAAAACAAUACAAAAAAUUAAACUUUUAAAAAACACAUUUCAAACACGUUACAAACAAAAUCUAAGUGUUUCAUAUAGAAGAAAAACUUGUUAUUCAGGCAAACAGUAAUUUAAUUAUUGAAAAACAAAGUUGAGAACUUCUAUUAAUUAAUUAAUUAAUAAUACUCUCCUGCAAUAAACAUGAUUACAAGCUUGGACGAUCUCUUGGAUAUCCUAACUUGUAACAAAAUACAAGGGGGGAGUAUAUACUACUGCAAUAUUGCUAGCAUAUAUAUUGCCAAAUGCUGAUAACUAUUGCAUCAUUAGAUUUGCAAAUCCUCGAAAGUACAUGAUUAAUGAUUUUAGCAACAGCAAAGAAGCCAUGUUGCCCAGAAAAUGAAAACAUAUAAUUAUAACCAUGAGAAGUCUUUCUUCCAGUUCACUUCAUCAUUGCUGAAAUAGAACCCAUCCUCUCUCACCGACCAAGAGCACUUCCUGAAAAGGCUGCAACGCUGAAGAUCCCUUGGAACCUUGAAGGCAUCAAAUUUCCUCCUCAUUGCAUCCCACUUCAUGGUGCACAAGAAAUGAGUAGUGCCCCAGAAGUUGGUCUUCAGGCUCCAACUGAAAUCAUCACCUUCCUGGAGGGCACGUCCGCCGAGAUCAUCAUUGUUUGACGAGCACCAUAUGACCAGUGGCAGUGAUGAGUUGUUUUUAAACCCAUUGAUGACACGAACAUCGUACUCUAGUCCAUAGAAAUAUUCUGGUUGAUAUAUUGACAUGAAAAUGAUGCCUAUGGCCAGGCUAGCAACAAGAAAGAUGUUAGUGAGAACCUUCAUUUUUGUGACUGGUGAGAUGAAAAUCUCGAAGGCUGAAUAUAGGCUGGCAGAUAGAUUUGUUAAAUCGAUUAUAAGGGUAGGACUUGACUCCAAUCCACCUCCCUCCAGAUUCAAGAGAUUACCAUUUAAAGUUGAAAACCGUUGGUAUAGUUUUAAAGCAUAUAUGAGCUGUAUUUGGGAAGCCUGAUUAUCGAUGAAAUCUCUUCGUAUCAGAAUACAGAUUUGUUUACCUUUUCUAAUGCAUAUUUUUUUGGUAUCUAUAGACUUUUCUAUAAUUUAAAAAAGUAUGCAUUACCAUGAUAAUGAUUGGUUUUAAGGUUAAAUAACAUUUAUUUAUUUGUUGGUACAUGUCUAUAUGUUCCUUGGCCUAGUACUAUUUAUUCCUUCACAUAUAAAAGAUACAAUUAAAAAAUGCAUAUAAGAUUAUAAUCUAGGCUUGCGCCGCCCUUAGCACAGCAAAACAGAGUCAAGGUUCCGAGCUGAGCUCUAAUUUUGUAUCGGUUUAAAUAAUUUCAUAAGCACGGUCGUUUAGCUCUUCUCUAUUCUUAAAAUGAAAUGUAAUUUGCCUCGUGUGGACUCCCUAAUUUACUAGUUUCGACAACUUCUAUAAUUUGUGCUGUGUUAUAGAUAGGAUUUCAAAUUAAUCUUUUUUUAUAAAUAUAUCGUGCAACAAAGAUAAAUCACAACAAUAGCUUCGUGUGAACUUCAAAAAAAAUUAUUAUUUUUUUAAAAUUGAACUAAAUAAGGGAUAUUAAUUAAAACUUAAAUAAAAAAAAUGAAAAGAAAAAUAAAAAAAAUAAGGAAAAGGGUAUUAAUUAAAUUAUUUAAAAAUAAUCACAUGUUAAAAAAAAGAUAUAUUACCCAUGAUUGAUAUAUUAAUCAACUCAAUUAUACUGAAUUGAAAAGUAUAAUUGGAAAUAGAAUCAGUAUAGAAAAAUAUUUUUUUUGUUUGAAUAAAAUAUGACUUGUAAUGGAAAUAAAAAAUUAAUAACACAAUUUUUGUUUGCGCGAGAGAGGAAGCUUUUUCGGGUUCUUUUUUCCCUUAAAACAGAUUUGCCUCCUUUCAUCCAAAUAAAUAAAUAAAUCGGCUUCGCCACUGCCCCUAGAUUAGCCCAUGGCUUCGCAAAUGCUAAUGCGCUCUAAAUAUCCAUUAGAUUGACACACAGAAACCCAGCACUGAAACAAGGAAAAGCUAAGCCCACUGACCUAGGAAAGCAUGCCUAGUGUUGUAGGAUGAGCUAGGCCACUAGCGAAGGACAAAAUUGAUAUAUAUUCUUGUUUUACAAGAAUAUGAAAAACAAUGGGCUGACGGCCCAUUUUAUUACUAUAUUCUUGUUUAUAUAUAUAUAUAUAUAUAUAUAUAUAUAUAUAUAUAUAGAGAGAGAGAGAGAGAGAGAUUUGCUUUUUUAUAUAAUUCAUUAAGAUUUCUAUCUUUCCCUUUAAUCAUAUUAAAUCACAUAAUACAUGUUAAAAAUAUUUACAUUAACUAAUAAGAUUAUUACUUAAAAAUAAUAUAUAUAAAGAUAAGCUGUUCUUUUAAUCCUUUAGUAACCAAAUGUAAUUUUUUUCCAUUCGCUAAAGGAUUGAGCAUUGUAACCAUAAGAUCUUGUUGAACAGGUUAAACGUUGCAUUUACUGACAGCCUAUAUUCCAAGCAUAAGCUGUUGCAUGUAAAAAAAACUCCAGUAAUUAAUCAAGGAAUAACUAAAUAAUAAGGUGAAACCUAAAAAAUCCAGUUCUAGAAAAAAACUAAAUAGAGAAGUCUUCAUUUCUUGUCCAUCAGGUUUCCUCAAGCAAACAUGAUUAAAAUGACAAAUCUAUAAUUAAGAAUUAAUACUCGUUUCUGUUAAAUUUAUAGCACUUGGAGUUUCGAAUUACUGUGAUUAUGGGUCCGCUACACGGGUUAAUUCUUUCAAACGCUAUACUGGAGAGGGAGAAGCGAUACCAUUUUCACAGCACGUUAAAUUUGUACUUUGAAAAAUAAGAGAAGACGAGGCAAAUAAACAUACCUGCUCAGCACUUAAUUCUUUUAUUUACAUUCAUUCCUGCAGUACCUGUGCACUUAGAAGUCAGUAAUUUGGUCCUUCGUCCUCUGUAGACAAUUUUCCACUAGAGAGCUAAAAAAUGGAACUUAACCGUUACCAGCCAAGCCUGUCAAGUGAGCAACGACAUCUUCAAGGCGAGAAAGGUGGCUCGAAAAUUUGUCAUGAAGUUCGGAGGAUUCACAGUGAUUUUCCUGCCACUGAGAAAUACCAUCACCAAUAACCUUCAGACCAUUCUGGAGUAAUUCCAAUCCCUUGCUGAUUCCAUCAGGGAGUUUCCUUCUCUUGUUUGAUACGCUGUCAACAUCAAUCUCCAUACUUUGACAUUCCAUAGCAUCUAUACCUGAAAUCUUCUGAACCAUUUCUUUCAGCAUCAUACCUUCCUUCACAAGCAACUCAAGCUGCUCAAUGCUAGGUGUAGUGGUAAGAGCUGCUUCCUUAUCCAGAAAUGCCUUCAACUCAGACAUAAACCUCUCCUCGCUUGCUUCAUUCCCUGACACCAGAUCAUAAGAUAGCGAUGCAUUUUGUGGCACAAAUCUCCAUAGCUGAUUGCAAGUAGUACGAGCAGCAAAAUAUCCAAAUGCCGCAAUUGAAAGAUGGACAAGUGCCCAAUGCCGCUCCCUGAAUAGCAUGUGAUACAACUCCCACACAGCAGAGCUUUUUGCACAAUCAUCACUCUCUGUCAUCUCCAUGUCUCCAAGUCCUCCCAUAAAAAGAGCAAGAUAUGGUUUGCAUUGAUACAAUUGGGUAUUUGAUGCUGCUGGCCCUGAGACAAACAGGUUCUGAAGCUCCAAUAGGACUCCCUCCAUCUCAUCAGAUUUGUAUAGAUGCUUCAUAUUUGACACAAUUCCCAACAUUUCACUUAAAAGCUCAUGACAGUGUUCCUUCAUUAUUUUCUCGACAGGGUUUCUGAAGUUACGAAUUAUAGCAACUAAAAACUUAAGGGUCUUCACAUCAACAUCAGAUAUGCUAACCUGCCUAGAAAACAUAAAGUUUCAUCAUAUAAUUUUAACUAAUAAAAAAAAAGGUAUGAGGAUAAAUCUGUUUAGGGUUUCUCUCACGCAUUUACGAUUUUAAACCAGAGGAUCAUUCAGAAAAGUUUGGUGAUACCAUUAGCAAGACUAUGUUUAGAAUAAGAUAAAAUGGUUUGAAAAUAAAAGAAGGAAUCAGUCAUCACAUAAGAGUGAGAGAAGCGCUGCAACAGCAAAAAGGGGAUGGUGAAGCUCUGAUUUUAAUCCUAUAUAUGAAAAACUACUUGAGAGCUAUAAAUGUUAGAGGCAAUGUAUAAGCUUCGUAGUUUGGUCAGGAUUGCAAAAUGUAAAUGAGAGAGUUCAUUUUCCAUUUUAUCAGAACAGCUUAUAUGUUGUAUGUAAAUAAAAGAAACUGGCUACUCACUGUGCCUGCAAGGAUGCAGAUAGAGCAUGAACUGGAAUCCCAAAUGCACCAGAACUACAAGUAGUCAACACUUUGUCAUCAAAACUCCCUAUGAAGCCAAAGUAGUCAGUAAUGAUCUUCUGUUUUGCACCACUUCUGAUGUUAUCUGAUAGUGAAUUUAGAGGGAACCCUUCCAAGAGCAAGGCUGCAUACAGAACUGAUGACAAUUGAAAUCUUCCGUCACCAACAACAGAGCUGUAUACAUGGUCUGCCAUAGGUGGUGUACUUUUAGCAAGCAAGCAGAUUAUCCUUGCCACUUUCCUCAGAGGAGAACCUGGAAUAAGAACUGAUUCUGGUGAUUCCAGUAGCUUCAUUAAUGAGCAAAGUUUAUCAAUGAUGCCUUUCACCAUGUCCAUUUCAGCAUAACGCACUAAGAAGCACCAAAGUUCCAUUACAAUCUCCCAGCAAAGAAAAUGUGGAUGGAAAAGAUUUUCAAGCAGGAAAGCCUCAAAUUCUGCCCAGGCAAAACUUGAAGACACCGCAAUCAUGAAGGUUUUUAGUGCAUGCAAAAGAGCUGAAAACAUAGGUUGCCAAAUCAAUUCCAGUGUUUUCCCCGAACCAUGUGGCACAGGAAUCUGCAAAUCAAGAACGAAGGAGUAUACAUCUUCAACAACUAACAUAUCCAGAAACCAUCUGAGUUUUCUAGUGAUCUUGAUCUUUAUGUCAUCUUCAAGAUCCAUAGAAUAUCUUAGUAAAUUAUGAAACAAUGCAAUCCUGCCAAGCAACAAUAAUCUUGCUUCAGACAUAGCUUCACAGCUCACAGAAAAGAUUUCAACCAUUGAAGUCAUGUGAUAAAAACUACUUGAAUCUCCAUGCAUAGAAUUUGAGCAGAAAUCAUCAUUGAACAACCAGUCCAGAAGUUUAAACUUGAGCUCUUGUUUCACUUCAGCUGAAUUGAGUAAAGAAUUCAGCAAAUCUAUUGAUGUCUUCUCCAAAAGUUCUGACAACACUUCACUAGCUGUGUUCAAAAGUUUUUCAUAGCUCAGUAAAAUUCUAAAGGAUGAGAUCAUUAUGACACAGAGGGUCACCUCCUUGUACACCAAAUAUGCUUGGCAUGGAUAGAGGGAAGAUAUUUUCACUGCGUUGGUAAGGUAAAACUUAGAUGGAAGAAAUGUCCUCCUGGCUUCAGUUAAAGAAAUGGUUUCCUUCAAUAAAGAAGACCAAGCCCCGGCUGCACACCUGAGAGGUUCAUUCACCAGUGAAAUUAGGGUUAGAAUAAUAUCCUGCACGCUUAACAUCUCUCUUAACACCCUCUUGCCUUGCUGAAGCAAGGUAAUCACACCUUUCCAUGACACAUUGAGAAUGGUUACCAGACUCCCACCAUCAUUUGCUGCAAGGAUCCCCAGUUCACACAAUUUCUCUAUUGUACAUUUUGUUAUGUUCGUAACAUGAUUCAUUAUAUUGGCUCUCUCUGAAUCUGUAUUGUUUUCAUCCUUCUCAGGUCUUGCAUCACAAAGAUCCCAAUUCACAGCAUCAAAAUAUCCUUUGCAUAGUCUCACUACAGUAUCAAUCACAGUCUGUGCAGCCUUUAAUGCUUCUGAACCGAAGGAGUUGAUCCUCUGCUUGAGAACGGUAACAGAAUAUUCUUAGAAAGAGAUACUAACUAAAUCCUCUAAGCAAUGAAUUAAUAUCAUAAACAGGAUAACGAAAUUUCACCUAAAAUGCAAUUCAAAUGGACCACCUGAUGAUAGCCUUGGUAUGAUCAUUAUGGUCGUAAAGAUGUAAUUAAAUGCCUCGAAGGCUCAGAGUACAAUUAUGUUUCAUGGUUGUAGACAGCUAUGGAUGUCACAAAGGCCAUGCAUGAUGGAAUUUACUCAGAAGCAAAAAUUAGAGUGGGAAGGAGAUGAAAAGGACUCACUGAUAUGGAUCACGGUUUUAGGAUUUCCCUAAAGAUCUUCACUAAAAGACAGAAUCAUUGAAGAUGUUAUAUAUUAUGAUUUCCUAUAAGCCUGAAAACAGAUAAUCUACCAUUGACUUUCACCGCAAGUACAAUUUUUGCAUGUAAAAAUUGUUAAUGAGGUUAUGGGCAACAGGUAUUUCAAGCAAGCAGCCUGAUCCCAAGUCACAAGCUAUUCGAUGAUGUAAAAGCACAGAAGAAAAUAAAAGACCUGGUACCUUAAUCUCUGAUACUACGUCUUUUAUCAAAUUUAGCUGUUCCAAAAUGAAUUUCUCAACAGUAGCUGCUGAUGCAUUGUCAACAAAAACAGGGUGUCUUUUCAAAGCAACCAUACUGGCAGCAGAGAGACUAAAUAAAUCCAAAAGAAGCUGCAAAAGAUAAGUUUAAGACGUCAAAAAACAAAAGCAAAAGCAACCACUCGUUAUUCAGAAAAUAUAUGAUAAUAAUCACUGGGAUCUUAUCAAAAAAAUCACAUUUCAGCUCAAAAGGCCCAUAUUUUACAAAAGCAUAAACCCCAAUAUUAUUGUCAAGAAGAGAGGAUGUUCAUCAUUGGAGAACUUGUAAGUAUAUUGCACAAAAGGAAAGUUAACUAAUACAGCACAAAUUAAGCACCUAAAAACGAUAUGAAUUACUCAAGAAGUAGUUAUGACCAGUUUCUUAUUAGACACAUCAGAUCAGCAUUAGUAAUUUUCUCACAUACUAAAUAUGCACUUCUAUGGUUGGCUGCUUUGCAGCAACUCCAAGAUAAGUUCAUGACCUUUUUCAUUUUGGUAACCUGUAGUUCAAAAGAUGUUGGUUGAUGCAAGUUAAAUAAUUUGCCCAAAGCUUUUAGCAAGGAGACAGACAUUAUAGCGAACGACUCACUUUCUUCUUUACAAAUUCCCAUUGGGGAUAUGCACAACUUAAUAUGCAAGAUUGUCAUUCAAUGUAUAACUAAUGAUAUAACAUAGUUAAGCAUUGAGAAAACUAACAUUUACAUAGGCCUGCAACUGAUUGAGUGCAUUCAAAUAUUAUUAUAUUCUGCAAAAGUUGUCCUUACUAAGUAAUAACACACUACUGGUUUCUAAAAGUUCAGAAAACAUACAAUUAAAGACUGCCAGUGUCAUUUUAGUUUCUAUAACAAUAAACAAAGACCAUCAAAGUCAUGUUGGCUCCAAUCCAGCUCGUUCCAGGAAGCCUCUUUUCUAAAAAAAACACAGAUCAAGAGUGGGAAACCACAUGCUAAUCAUGGAGAAAAACCUAAGAAUACUAUCCUAAACAGAACAAUCUACACCCAAUGGCGCUGCAGAGAUCAGUACAUACCUGAAAGAAUAAAUUUGAAUGUUCUUCUUGAGAUUCUUCAGUUGACAUCGCAGUCAUCUUCAGAUGUUUUCCACACCACCCACUUGCCUAAUGCACACACGGUCUCAAUAAGGUCAAGAACAGACAUACCACUCAACAGAAUGUCUAACAAGAAUACCAACAAACAGAAUUAAGCUAAAGUGAAACUCUACCUUUGUCCCGAGAGCAAGAAACUGUACUAAACAUCCAGACACAUCUGAAUCUACAUAUUUCGCAGCCACGCUCAAAAUAGUCUUGUUUAACAUGCAUUGAGAUAUAUCCAAGCAAGUAAAGUCCUCCCAAAAUGUCCAGCUUCUUGUUAAGGCAAAAUAAUAAUAAUAAUAAUAAAAAAUCUAACAACAAAGAUAUUCAGAACAUCUAUCGUAAGCAUCCAAAAUCAUAGGAAUCCAAACUAAUCUCCAAACCCUAAUUUUUUAUUUUACAUCAGUGAUGCAUUUUCCGAAUAAAUAAAAAGAAAAAAAAAUAGAAACAAGUAAAAUGGAGGAUACUGUGAGGAAUUCAAGAAGAGAAGCCAAAUCCGAUAUCUCCAGGAAAUCAAAAUCCCGAAGCUUGUUAACCAGUUCAAUCUGGCUCUCAACAACCUGUAUUAUUAGCAUUCGAAACCUCUCAGAUUACAAAAUACACAAAAUCAUAAAUGAGAUGAAUCAUUUCGUUGCUGUUUUUGAGAGAUCUAAUUUCGAUUUUGGUAGCCAAACAACAUCAAAAAAUAAGAAGGCGAGAAAUGAAGAAAUUGAACGAGCUAGCUUACAUCUGAAGAUUUGAUGGCUUGCAGAAGAUCCUGCAACUCCUUGCUGGAGCUUUUUCUCUCCAUUUUCCGCUUUCUUAGUUUCCCUGUUUGAGUUUGGUUUAUUGUUUUUUGUUAUUUUGUUUUCCCGCCUUCAAUAAAAAUUGAAGUGGAAAAGGGCUUGUCGAAGUUGUAUUUACAAUUGGGUCCUUUUUUCAGUUUUUUUCGCGCUAUUGACCUUAUUAUUAAAUCUCUCUUCACAAACACACACACAUAUUAGAAUCAUCCAUGAUGAAAAGCUAUAGCAUUCCUUGGUUUAUUGUUUUCAUCUUGCUAGUUUGAUUCCUUGUGUUUACGCUGUGGGAUAGAGUUUUUUUUUCUCGACACAAAAAAAAAUUGUGGUGUUCUACUGUUAUUAAUGGAUUUCUCACUAAAAAAAAAUUAAUUACAAACUAAAAGAUUUAUAUAUACAUUCAAUUAAAAAUUAUAACUGUUAAUAAUUGGAUGGAAGGUUGAGGUAAAGAUAUUAUUUCUUUAAAAAAAUUCAAUUUUUGUUUUGUUUUUAAAUUAGGUUUUUAAAGUUUUAAUUGAUUUGAAUUAAUAAAUUUAAAUUUUAUUUUUUCAAAUUAAACAUCGACUCAAUAUAAAAAAAGUUAUUUUUAAUAUCGUGAAAGACGCAUAUAAAAUUUUUAAAAAUAAAAUAUCAAACUCAAUCUCCAGUCAACUUAAUAUAAGAGGGUUAAAUUAGAAAUAUAAAAACUCAAGUGAUAAAAAAGGAAAAACAAAACAUUGUAGAUAAUUAUUAGAAUCCACAAUAGAUCUUUCUUUUAUAUUGCAUUUCCAUUUUAUUUUAUUUUUUUCAUUGCUUCAAGUGUUUAUGAUUUAUCGAGCAUCAAUUUUAUAAAAUCAAACUACAAUAAUUGAGAAGCAAAAGGACUAACAAAAAGAAUGAUGUAAAUAAAAAAAAGAACUAACAAAAAAAAUGAUGUAAAUGAAAAAAAAUAAUGAGUGAGAAAAAAAAAAUUUGAGGUGGUUCACUGUUGACAAUCAAAACACAAUUUCAUGGUUUGCUAAAUGCAAAUUUCAUAAAAUCAAAACAUAAUUGUUAAAUAAAAAGCAAAAUAAAUUAAUAAAAAAAUACAAAUAAAAAAAAGGACCAAAAGACAAAAAAAGUGUUAAAUAGGAAGUAAAAUGCCUUUAUGUUAAAGUAUCUAUACCCAUAGAUUUACCUCACAUCGAUAAAUCCACUCAUCAAAAGAGCCCCAAAUCAAACCCCCCUCCCCUUUGAACUCCCUCUAAAAUAAAGGAUGCAAAUAAAAAAAAAUAAUCUAAAAAAAAGAAGGAUGUAAAUGAAAAAAGAAUUGAGAUGGUUUAUUAUUUAUAAUUCAAACACCUUUUUAUGGAUUACAAAGUCGAUUUUAUAAAAUUAAAUUAUAAUUAUUAGAUAAUAAACAAAAUGAUCUAGUAAAAAAAAAAUGCUAGGAUCCAGUAAAAAUAAAAAGGAUGUAAAAGAAAAAAAAAGAUUCAAGGUGGUUUGCUGUUUUUAAGAACAGUGUCUUCACCUGUAUCAUUUAAUAUAUAUAUAUAAUACUCAUAUGGAAAUUCAUUUAGUUUUAUAUGAGAUGACAUGCACGCGUGUUGCCGCGGGUUUAUAAAACAAAUGUACUUGAUAGUGUUAUAAUUGUGAACCAACGCUAGAUAAGUAAUAGAAAUUAAAAGUAUGAUGGAGCAAAUAUUUAAUGACAGAAAAAAAAGUUGUGUUGGUGAUGAAAAACUUAAGACUGAACAAAAUGAUUUGUAGCAAUCUACAGUGUUUUGUGAGGAAAAAUACAAUGUUUUCGCCACAUGAUUUAGCUUUUCAGUUAAUAAAAGGCAAAAAAAAUUACAAAGCUAAAUUAUCUACCAACUUAAUAUUAAAAAAAAAACCAACAAAGAUAAUUUUGGAAGGAAAAAAACCCAUGAGAAAAAACGUUGCAGCAAUUGACAAUGUUUUGUGAGGAAAACUAUAGCACUUUUCCCAAUAAAAUAAAAUAAAAAACCAUUUUUCCUCAUAUGAUUUAACUUUAUUGUAAUUAUAAUUCUUAACCAACUCAAUAUUAAAAAAAAAUCAACAAAGAUAAUUUUGAAAAAAAUCAUAAAAAAAUCACAUGGGAAAACAUUGCAACAAUUCACAGUGUUUUAAAGAAAAAAAAUUACAAAGCUAAAUUCUUAAUCAGCUAAAUAUUUUUUUUUUAAAAAAACAACAGAGACAAUUUCAGAAAAAAAAAAAAAAACAAAACAAACACCAAAAAAAGGAAAAAAAAAUCAUGUUGAAAACACUGUAGCAAUUCACAAUAUUUUUGUGAUGAAAGCUGCAGUGCUUACUCACAUGAUUUAACCUUAUUUGUAAUGACUUGUAAUUGUAAUUCACAAACAACUCAAUAUUAAAAAAAUAAAAUCGAAAAAGAUAAUUUGAAAAAAAUUAUAACAAAAAAAAAUAUGCGAAGAGACACUGUAGCAAUCCACAAUGUUCUAGGAGCAAAGCUACAAUGUUUUCCCCACAUGAUUAAGCUUUAUUACAAAGUUAAAUUUUCGACGAAGAUAAUUUUGGAAAAAAAUGUUACAAAAAAAGAAAACACAAGAAACUGAAAAAAAAACCAUGCGAGGAAAAACUGUAUCAAUCCAUAAUGUUUUGUGAGGAAAAACUUGUAUUUACUUGUAAUUGCAAUUCUUAACCAGCUUAAUAUUAAAAAAAUAAAAUUGACAAAGAUAAUUUUAGGAAAAAACAUAACAAAAACAGAAAAAAACCAUGUGGGAAAAAACACUGUAGCAAUCAAUAGUAAUUUUCGAGGAAAGUUACAGUGCUUUUCUCACAUAUUGUAACUGUAAUUUUUAACCAACUCAAUAUUAAAAAAUAAAAUAAAAAAAGAUAAUUUCGGAGAAAAUUAUUAAAAAAACCAUGAGGAGAAACACUGUAGCAAUCAACGAUGUUUAAAAGAAAAAAAAUUACAAAACUAAAUUCUCAAUCAGCUCCAUAUUAAAAAAAAUCGACAAAUAUAAUUUUGAAAAAUAAAAAAAUAAAAAAGAAAAAUUAUGUGGAAAAACAUCGCAGCAAUCCACAGUAUUUUAAAGAAAAAAAUUAUAAAGCAAAAAUUUUAAUCAGAUCAAUAUUUAAAAAGUAAAAUUAACCAAAAUAAUUUUGAAAAAAAAAAUAAAAAAAAAAUAAAAAACCAUAGUGAUUUAGUUGUGGGGAAUUCACCAUUUAGAUAUUGUUUAAUAUAUCGAGGGUGCAACUGUUCGUGUAUUUUUACGCAGGGACUGGAGUCCACCUUCCUUCACUUUUCAGGCUUGGAUCGAUCCGAGCAGUUGGUUGCCUUACCAGACCCGAGCUCGCAAGUUGAGACAAUGUCCAAUCACACCAUGAAGCCCUCACCUGGGUUACCAAACUCGGCGAUUGAAUUCAGUGUGCAGAGUUCUCAUAAAGUACAAUGUGGUAUAUUUUUCUUCCGACCAGGAAUAUGUUGGUUCUUUAUUAGAAGUUCGAUUUUCUCGUUUUCAAAGAAAAAAGAAAGGAAAGGAAACAAGACGGAUUAUUAUAUUUAUCACUGAUAAGCAUGCGUUAAGAUUGCAGAUGUCACCUACCUUGAUCUGAAAACCGAGGAGUUACGCCUUGAGUUCUUGUCUAGAACAACCGACUUCGUUUAAACUAGACUUAGUGGGGUGCGCCAGGCUCUUGCUAUAGUGCAACGCAUGAGCGACGCCCGAGAGCCCCAGUAGCAAGCUACUGUUAUGGACUCUCCCCCUCAAAAAAUUAAUUUAAUAUCGUGUGGACCUAUGGCCCACGUAUCAGAUAUUAAACUGAUAAGAACAGAUACUACACUUGAUCUUAGCCAAAAGGCCGAGAAAGGUAUGAUUUGUCUAGCAUUCAGCUUUCGUUUAUAUACACGACUCGUCUCACUUACAUGGUCUCUUUAGCGAUGUGGGACUAUCGAAACGCAUUAACAUGGCUUGUAACUUGUAAGAAAAACCAAGAACCAGCAGUUUUUCUCACUUGCAAAUUGCACAAAUAAAAAGAGAAUUUCUCUCUUUUGGAUGCCUUCCAGUGUCGAGCAAUAGAUUAAGAAGCAGAAUCACUGGUUUUUGGCUAGAAGGUGGCGAUCUUGCUGUCAAGAUCAAGGCCAUGUUGGUCAUGUAUGGGCUAAAGCUGUUAAACGACUGUCUUUUUUAAGCUAAUAAAGCUGCUAUAGGAAACAGUGGAGGUAAAUUUAAGAGGCUCCCAAUUGGGGUCCAGUAAACAAAUUUGCGGCAGAGGCAUAUUUGUUGGUGGGUUAUCUCAAGAAGGCAAGUAAAACGUUUGAAUUGCGAUUGUCAUGCUCAUAUCAUCAAGAGAAGGUAUCUUCCUUGUUAACUUUCCUUUGAUUUCUCAGUAAUUAAACAGCUAAUUGGUGUUAUGGUAACGCAUGCCGUUAAAUUGGAUAGUUUGUCAUAGAAUACUUGAUUGCUGAGAAAGUGGUGGGAUGGGAGAGUUAAGUUGAAUUUAUCGUUUCAGUAGAAUGAGAAAACUGCAAGCAUAAAUCUUCAAACAAAAUUUUUGGCCCCUCUUGCUGCUAAGAACUAUUGAAGUUAUUGUAACUACGAAGGAAUUGUUUUAAGGUUGGAUGCAAUGCUAUUGAUCAAGGACACAUUUGAAUUAGAUAUGGGCAUGCACAAUAACUAAUCAGCCGAAGUAGCUAAAAGAAGCUAAACAAGCAGAAGCAAGUACACAGCUUAUUUGAUAAUAUUCCAGUUAAGAAGAUUUGAUAAUUGUGAAGAGAGCACUCUGGUACGAAAAUCUCUAGUAAAUGUUUUUGCCUGAUGGAUACAUAAAAGUGGGCAGUUCUGAAUCUUCUGAUGGUAUUAAAACUCUACUUAAUGAUUGUUUAUCUUAAUAGCCUUUCUUUUUGUGGGCUUCUCUUCAUACUUCUUUACAUUAAAACGAGCCCCCCCCCCCCCCCCUCCCCCUCCAAUCGGUCAUCAUGCUGGUAAGUUAAGCUUUUGCAGGUUGCAUAAAUGCUUGCACAAGUUAGUCUACUAUGCUUUUCUUACAGUUAGCUUUCCUGUGUGUGUUUUAGUUCCUUCUUUGCAUUUUGGAGUCAUGAGGAUGUGAUUUUGAGUAAUGGGAUCAAAUUAAACUAGCAGCUGUUUCCAAUCCAGCAGAAGAGUUUUUAUUGUGACGUUUCAUCUUCCCCUUGCCAAGUUUAACUUGAGAUAUUAACAAAUUCCGUGGGCAUUGGAUUUAGGAACUUCCAGUAGUUGAGAAUGGUUUCGGUACAGUGAAAACUUACAGCAAAAUGAAACAACGGCCUAAGAAGUGCCAUAUGUGGACGAUGAUGGUUUCAAUCUAGAAUCAUGUGUUUUCUGUAACAAAUACAAUAGCCAUGUACAAACCUCGAUCUAUCCAUUCACAAAUCUUUUUUUCAUUUGCUGCUUUUAUUAGGGAGAAUUAAAAGCUAAACAAUUUUGAUUGCCAUUUUGAUUUCAUAUGUUGUUUUGUAAAUUAAAAUUGACAUCGUUUCAUUUCUUUUGUACAACAAUCCUUUUGUUUGAAGAUGAUCAUCUGACUGUCCAGUCUUCCUUGCCAAAAUGUUUGAAAGUGGCUGCGCUAUAACUAAAUAGAAUUGCAUUUACUUGGAGCAAGGAGCAUAUGUCUGCUGAGUGCUAGUUUUAUCAAAGAAGAGGAUAGAUCCCGAAGGGAAGAUUGCCUUGGAGCCACUGGAAAAUCAUGAGAAAAGCCAGAGAGGUAGUGGAAGUUUUGAGUAAGAUACUGAACGAUGCCUUGCUGCUUGUAGCACAUCAUUUUUGUUCUUGAUUUUGUUUUCAUUUAUUUUUUGUCCUGUUUUAUUUUUAUUGCUUGCCAUAUAUGCGAGAACAAUCUUCAAUUGCUUUAGUGUUCUUUUAGCUAUGAUGGUAGAUGGCUGGUGCCAGGGACUCAGGUUUGGGAACUCGAAGGUCAGCUAAUGAGGGCAGAGGUGUACCUGUCCAUUGCAACAAUGAAAUGCAAUCGGGGCAGAGAUGGUUAUAUUAAAGAAUUAUCAUUUUACGUAAAUACGCAGCUAAUUAGAAUUCCGAACUGUCAAAAUCGUCAAUUUUUUCCUAAACGCUCAUUUCAGCUUGUUACAUUAUUUAAAAAUUCUAACACAACUUUCAGUCAUGCAGGGAAACCAAAAUUAGAUCAGGGAGUGUACCUCUACUCCAAGCUGUUGAGUUUGUGGAAGCUCCAGGAUCUUUGUUAUUCCACAUGCUUACAUGGUCAUUGUGCAAUCAUUCCUGGAAAACGCACAUGCUUUCACCACUCAAGUGCCAUGACCAUCGUAGAGAGAGAUUUUACACAGAGAUGCAGAGAGUUAUUCUUAGAGAGUUUUUUAGACUCAAGUUCUGAUCCAUGUACUGGCUAGUUGGUUUUCCUUUUGAAAACUAGCUAGCAAGUUCAUGGAUCGGAACUCUCAGUCUGAAAAAACUGAUGAGCUGGUUUUUUAUUGGCAAAGUUCCCGUUGAUUUAGAGGACAUAAUCCUGCAUUAUGCAGUACAUGAUCAUGAUAUUACCUUUUCCCUCUGUUAUGCAUUGACAGUCAUCAGUUUGCACAUGUAUUAGAGUCCUUCUUGCUAGUGGAUUCUAUAUUUACAUGUAUGACAAAUGCAAUGUUUUUCCUCGAAUUCGCUUCAGAUUGGAAAGCAGAAGUUAGGGCAUCGUGGGAGUAUGUAUGCAUGCUCAUUAUGCCCCUACUGAUGCCUGCAUAUAAUUGGUAGAAAACUGCAUGCAGGCAAUGUAUGGGCAAAUUUACCUUGGAUUUUAUGUCCCUGAUGACCUGAGGUAAAAACAGUAACAAGGACCGAAGUCUUUCGCAAGUUGUUCUCACGGGGAUGGAUUCAUGUAACAUUACUUUUCAGAGAUACACAUGUGCCACGUAAUGGAUUGAUGUGCCUUCUCUUUGGCUUGCUUUCUAUAUAAUGAACUUGAAUUUCAAGCAUAACCAAAAAAUAUUUUAUAUCAGAACUAAAUUAAAUAUGAAGCAAUUCUAUUAUUUGUUUAUCGUCCUCUCUGUGCUGUACAUUUUAUAUUGUAGGGUUGAUGGUUGUGAUCCUGAUUAUGGUGGCUGUCGAUGAAGCAAUGAUGCGAGUGGUUGCAAUCGUGAUGAUAAUGGUGGGGACUUUGAUGGACAAGAUCAAUGUGGUGGUGGCCAAAUGGGAAUUAGGUGGAGGAGGGUAGGGUGGAUUUGGCAGUGGUUUUGGUAUGUGGCAGUUAUGGAGGAAGAGGAGAUGCUGGUGGCGGUGGAGUUGGAAGUGGCAGUGUAGGUGAAUGUGAUCAUGGUCAACGGUGCUCCUAGCUAGGAUGUCAAAUGUGUGUUGGAUGCAGAGCCAGCUUGGUUUAAUUUUUUAAUGCUCGCAUCAGUGCCUAUUCCAUGAUGUUUCCAUUUUGUAAUACACGCACAAACCCUUCAAUUUUGUGUGCAUCUAGCAGAACUGUCUUUCAUUAUCUUAGUUAAUGUCUUGUAAGUUUGUUUUCAGGUGGUAAGGUUGUUGCAUUAGCAGUCCAUCUCAAGGGUUGCGCAUGCAUAUCACUCUCAUACAUGCUAGCUACCUUAAUUCUCGUAAUGUUUAUCUUGUAGUAGAUGACAGUGUCUUGAAUAAAUACACAAUAAUUGUAUAUGUGAUUGCUACUGACUUAAUUAUCUUACACUGUCUGAAUUUUGCUUUCAAUGGGUUAUAUUAGUUGCUUUCAUAGCAUUUGACUAGCUAGCUAGACACAGUCAGGCCUGUGACAGCAACAAAGGCAAUGCCUGUCUCCACCAUUUUGACUUUUGCUUUUCUUUAAUUUGGAGUUAAUGUAUAUAUACUUCUUCUGUCUGGGAUUUAUUGUCAAUAAAUGCACAUUAGACUGAUCUGAACUGCUGCAUGACACUGCCUGUACAGGUGGUUUACAUGCAAAAUUCGAGUUCUGAUUUUAUCUGUAAUAGUCGAAUCGAAGAAACAACUUCUUAGAAAGAUUAAAUAACAAAAGCUGAAACUGCAUGCAAAUUUUAUCCUUUUAGAGAGAAAACGUAUGAUUGGAAUCUCUUAUGUAUGAUUUUAAACUGUGUUUCAAUUCGCGAAACUACGUUGAAUGGUGGGGGCUACGACAUCCCAAACUUCAGAGAAAAUUUUACAUUUUAGUGUUAGAAUUUUGAACAUGUUUAAUUAUAGUCUUCAAUUUUAUAUAUUAUACACCCAAAUUAAAAUCAAUUAUUUUCUUAUCCAUCCCCCCAUUUGAAGUUUUUGAUUUGAAGUUUAAUCAAUAAAUAAUAUAAUAUUUUAACGAAGCAAUCUCGUAUAAAUGUUAUUAUCUCUAAUAGCAACAAUUUUUUAUCUUUUUAUUCGUCUAAAUGUCUUUUACAACACUAUAUAUAUAUAUCAAGCGCACAAUGCGUGUAUUUAGUUUUAAAUGUUAAGCGUAUUUUAAUUUGGACCAACAAUGGAAGGGGGAGGGCUUUGUAGUUUCUGAUUAUUUGACUAUUUCUGGAGGCUUUACUGAUGUUGUUUUCGUGUUUGUUAUAGGAGUAAAAAUAGCUUUUACUCUUCUUCAUUGUAUUUUUUUUAAAAUUCUUUUUUAUAAUUAGAUUAAUUGUUUAAUUAAAUCCUCAAACAUUAUAUAAAAUAAAACUAGUUACUACACAAAGAAAAUAUAUACAGAAAAAAAAUAUUUUUUUUUUUAUCUUUUCUUCUCAUUGUUUUAGAAGUUUAGAAUGUGUAAUUAUAUAUACAGAAAAUAUUGUUUCUAUAUAGAAUAAAUAAAUUAAAGAUAAUAUUUUUACCGUUCUAAAACUAACUCUUUAUUUAUUUCCAUCAUAAAUAAAUUCUCUAAUAUAUAGUUGUUGUGGUGGUCGGAGUUUGGGUGCUCAUUGAUGGAUCUAAUGGAUGAAGUUUUAGGGUUUUGGUGGCAGUUUAGGGGGGCUGGGGAUGGUGAUACAGGUAGUUGUUUAAGGAGAUGUGGUGGUGGUUCCAACUUCCAAGUGAGAAGAUGGAAGGGUGUUUUAGUAUUUUAUUGGUGAUAACCAAAUCGCCAAAGCCUGGCAUGCAUGCUUGGUUCUGGUUUUGUUUUCUAGUUCACAAAUUAAUCACACAACUAACUAAUUAUGCCAAGAGACAAGGUAAUUACAUUAAUGAUAAAUCCCAGCUGGGACAAAAUUAACACGAGGUUUUGCUAAAACACGAAGGCAACAACUGCAAUUAUCAUUGAAACAUAAAGAUAACAACACAUACAGCAUAAGAUGUGUCCAAGGAAACAACUAUUUGACAAGGAUAAUAACUCGCACUUAACACAACGACCUGUCUCAGAUAGUUCACUAAAAGUCUAAAACACCAAACCAAGCGCAAAAACAUUAAGCUAAUUAUUGACUUAAGGGGAUGGUAGAGUCGAACCACCAGCACCACCAGCUGCACCUCCUACACCACCAGCACCACCAGUGCCAAGGCCAGUAGCACCUCCUAUUCCACCAACCCCUCCAACCCCUCCAUAUUUGCCAAUUCCACCAAGGCCACCAAUAACUGGCAGACCACCAAUGAUACCAGCGUAACCUCCCAUUCCAGCAAAGCCACCAACACCACCAUAGAUGAAAUUCUUUUUGUCUUUAAGGCCAGUGCUGCUAGGUGAAUCGGCAGCUGGUGCACUAGCAUGCAAUACUUGCUCUUCAUUAGGGACAGCAUUAUUGCUAUCAAGAUCAACAUCAUCACUUGGAACAUUACGUGCUGCUGUUGCAUGCACAAAUGCUAAAACAAGCACAAAAAUCACAACCCAGCUAGCCAUCUCCCUCUCUCUCUCUCUCUCUCUCUGAUAUACUUUUGAAGCAAUACUUGAGUUAGUGUUGUUGCAUGGAUGUGGAUUUUAUAAGGAUUUGAAGGGUGGAUAACGGUUGAGGAUAAUAAAGGGGUUAUAGUAAAUGACAAUGAGACAUAGCUCUCGUAAUCUCGAAAAGGGAAAUUCUUUGAAAUUAGAACCAGAGAGUUAGGUGAAUCAAAAGUAGUAAAAUUUAAGGAAGUCAUGUGUCAUGUCAUCCAAGUGAAUUGCCAGGUUUGUCUGUGGUGUCAAGCCUCAUUAAACAGUGCCAAAUACAUACAUUUUUGUCCUCUGGGACAGAGUACAGAUUAACAGAUCAUCCUUCAUAAUUUAUAUAUAUAUAUUAUAUAAAAAAUUUAAAUGGAUCGUAUAAAAAUAACUAUAUAGAUAAAAAUCUGAAUUAAUUAUAGCUUAGUUCUGCAAUUUAGCAAAAAUAUUAUUCGAUCUCUAAAUAAUUGGUCCACGUAAAGAAAGAAUUUCAGGAGGGUUCAAACAAUUUUUCGAAUAAAGAAAUAUUUAAGCAAAUAAGUAUUUUCCAUAACUAUGUAGUUUUAAACCCUGAUAACGUUCUUGACAUGCUAAUCUUAAUCCUAUUAUUAAAGAAUGUCUUGAUGAACAUAUGGACCAAUCACGCUAAAAGUUUUAAAUAAUUUUUAUUGUUAACAAUCAACGAAAUUAUUAAGCAUAUCAAACCCUCCCACCCCUGAGAAAAGAAGAAGAAGAAGAAGAAGAUUUUUCAUGUGUAGAGAAACUCUUUCUUCAAGGAUUGCUAAUUUUUAUGCACCAACGGCUCCUGAUAUGGAAGCAUAUUCUGUAGAGAAAAGACUAACUGUAAACAUAUUUUCAUAUCUUUUAAGUUAAGGAUUCCCUUUUCAAAACUAAUUUGAAAUUAAGUUAAAUAACUUCUGUCAUAAUAGAAAUUAUUAAUUUUCACACUUAGAAAAUUGGGAUUGAAUUCUAAUUAGGGAAGGCUGAAGACUCUCUUGGACCUAGCAUUGAAAUCCAUGCAGGUCUAUUACGGCAUAAAUUGAUUUUGGAAUUUUUAUCGUGGAGAUGUGCUGAAAACUGUUUCAAAAUACAAAACAAAAAUGAAAAAGAGUUCUGCGUCAAAUCUAGCCUAGAAAAGAUUUUAUGGUAAACUAUUUCAUAUCAAUUAUCUCCCAAAAACAAGAAAAGGCAAAUCGAUCAAGGAAGGAGGGAGUUGCAAACAAGUACUCCAUGAAUCAUGAUGGCGGAUGCUUUUUUGUUAAUAAAAAAUAAGAUUUUAAGGUUUUUUUUCCUUCAAAAAAUACUAACUCCUAACCAUGGAAAUCUAUAUUAUCGGAAUAGAGACUUUUGUAGAAUUUCCAUUUUUUGAUUAAUUAAAAAUUUUUCAUGAUGUUGAAUAUAAAAGAAAGUACAUUAUGGUAUUAAUUAUACUGCCGAUUAGUUUUUUUUUUUUCAAAAAUAACAAUUCGUAAUAAUGGAAAUAUAUAUUCUAGGAAUAGAGAUUCUUCUAUAAUUCCUAUUUUAUAACUAAUUAAUUACAUUUAUAUUUUUUUUUCUUUUGUAAUAGUCAACCGUUCGUUGUGUUAACAUGUGAACCAGUCAUAUAAUGUAGAAAUUUUUCUAGGAUUGCUAUUGUAUGGCUAAUUAAAUCAUAUAAUAUAAAAAUUACGCUAUAUUUGGAAACGGUGAAUAUGCCAAUAUAAUUAUUGCAGGGGAUAUAAUUAAAUAUAUGGAAACCCUGCUGAACCUCUCAAGAAAUAUAAAAGGUGUACUGUACUGAUAAAAAAAACUCACCUACACUACCAUCGCAGAAAAUCAUAGAGGUGAAACAAAUGGCUGUAAGACAUUCCUCUGUCAAGAUAUCGAUCAUCGCAAUCAUGGUCAUCGCUCUCCUCUUUGCAAUAGGUACACACACACACACACACACAUAAAUAUAUAUAGAAACUGAAGCUGUUGCUUAUGUUUACUUAUCUGUGAUAUGUUCCUGUAAACUGUUGUUUCUGUCUCGUAAUUAAUCCUCUUACAACUUCACACAGUGAACUAACAUCCUUUUCAAGAUCACACAAACAGUAAUUGGUCAACAGAUUACAUAUAAUUAUAAUAAAUAAAUCUACCAAACAGACAACUUUCAAAACACUUAAUCUCUUUUGCAAGACUCGAGCAAAACCUCGUUGGCUGCGUGCACUGGAACAAUGAUUUUCCGGGUUGUUAUAUAUGUUUUUAUUCACUUCUUAGUUUAGAUAGGUAGGAUUAUAAGUCAAGAUAAUUAGAUUAAAAGUUGAGGACCUCGCUCAAAGGCGUAAAGGGUUGGUUCUCAAUCUUCUGUUCAGACGAUGGACUAACAACGAAAUAUGCAAAGCUAGUGAAAUCUUGAGGUAUAAGGUUCCCGUGGCUUGUAAAAAUGCCCAAUUAUUUUUUUAGUAAUUGGAAAAAAUAUAAUUAAAUUAUCAUAAGAAAAAACCAAUAAAAGGACUAUGUAACAAACAAAUAUGAAAAUUGGGAUUCAAUAAUGGGUUUUUAAAACCAAAGGAUUAAUUGAUUAUUUCACUAAAAAACAAUGAGAUUAAAAAUAUUUUUUUUUUUAGAGCACCCAAUUAUCCUUUAAGAAAAACUAUCAUAUUGACAUGCGUGUGUAUAUUACCUUGUGGAAGUUAGAAAAUUAAUUUUCUCCUCUUCUCUAAAUACAAUCAAACUCUUAACAAUAGAAGAUUAUGUUUAUGUUUUCAGAGAAAAAGGAAAAAGAAAAAAACGCUUACUGAUGCUUUGCUUGCAGGAGAGGCUGCGCUGGUUUGCGUAGAAAGAUGUGGAGUCCAUCCUGACUGUAAUGCCUUUUGCAAUCGCCUUGGUUACAGAGGAGGCCAAUGUCUUCCACCAGUUUACGUACAAUGUUGUUGCAAUCGGUGAUGGAUUUCUCUUUAUUAUUAGUGGCAAGACAGUUGUUGUGAUACCUUUCUCGAGGAAUAAAACGGGAUGGUUAUAAUGCCAUUCUCAAGGAAUAAAAUUCAUUAUUCGUCUCCUAUAUUUUUUUUCACCUUUUGCUGUGUUUUAUUCCUAAAUAUAAAUAAAAAAAAAGAAAAUAUGAGAAGGUAUAGAAAAAUUACUAGAUUGGUGUCCAGUGCUAUGAUGCAGACUAGAAUAAAAUGUAUUUUAACAUAAAAAUAAUAAUUAAGUAUUAUUAACAUGUUUUCGGGUUCAGUUUUAUCAUAAUCAGACUAAGUCUAAAAAAAUUCUAAUUGAGCCAAAAUAAAACCUAGUUGGGUUCAGUUUGACCAAGUUAAACUAAAUCCCGUAUUAAACUAGGUUUGACCUUGGUAAAACCAGGCACCAAAGUAAUCCAGCCAAGCCCAUGUUAAACUACAUUCGAUCAUGGUCAAACUCAGCCCAAAAGAAGUGCAACCAAGCCUAAGGUGGGCUCGGUUGGGUUUGGUUUGACCGGGUCAAAUUAAAUUUUAUAUUAGGCUAGUUUUGAUCAAAAAAAAUCUAAUUGAGAUUUGUUUUGAUUGGAUCGAAUCAAGCCUUAAUGUUGGGCUAAGGUUUCACCGUCCUAAAAGAAGUCCAACCGAGUAAAACUCAUGCUACAUUUUUUUAUAUAUAUUUCUUUUUGAACCCUUGUCAUCAAGUCCCCCAGAAACGAAGUUAUGAUAAGAAGGUAUGGACCGAGCCAUGGAGGAGAGAUGUCCAAACAAUUUGACCUGGCACUCCUCAGCUCACUUGCUAUUCAGGUUAAGCCUCUACGGAUGAAUUGGUAAGCUAUGGAAGCAUGGAGAAAAAGGUGCACAGAAUGUGAUCCAAUUCUCCCGGAAAUUAAACAAAGAAUGACCCGCGAAAGAUGGAUCACCACAAUGGAGGUAACCGACCAGAGGGCUGAGAAGCAUUCCAGAGACUGACAAGUGGAAGUGGUUUCAUUAGGACCUGUGAAGUAAAUUAACCUUGCUGGUUUUCACUUGGAAAGGAGAACAACAAUCAAAAACUAGCUUAGCAUAUUUAGCAUACCAAGAAGAUGUCAACCCUGAAAAUUACUUCGAUGCUUUCCAAAUUCCUUACUGCCAGAGGGAAAACGACAAGCAUUGGGAGGCCGAGCCAUCGUGUUUUUGUCACUGCCACUUCUAGACCACUGCAAGUGAGUUGCCUGUAAUUUCUGGCAUAUAUAAACAUGUUUGUGUGUACCUGUGUGUCUGGACAAUUUUGUUCAGUUUUUUGUUCACAGUCAUUCAUAUUUUAUACCUUAAAAACGUGUAAGAAAGAGAUUAGUUUUCUCGUACAAAAUUUCUUCAAUUCAAUAACAUUCUUACGAUACAUUGGUACAACAAUGGCGUGUUCCACUAAACCCGUAGAGAAGACAAUGUGUGUGGUCUCUAACCAAUUCAAAUCCUGAAAUCCACGCACUUUUUUCACUGAAAAUUACUAAGUAAACAAACGGGCCAUGCUUUUGCUUAACUAAUUAAAACACAUCAUGAUCGAUCAUUCAUUUUUAUAACUUGUGUAUGAAAGAUUCGGAGUAUAUAGUGCUUUUUUCCUCCAAAAAACUUAACAAGAUCUACAGGACAAAAAGGAUAAACAGACAGCAGAGGCAUGUCAGAGUGUAACAGAGGCAGCAGAAUCAGUUAAAGAUGGUGCAAGAUCAGUGAAGAAAGCUGCUGAAACUGUAAGAGCAGUGUUAAUGAACAUCAUCUGUACAGAAAUGUGCAUAUAUAUAUAGACUUCAAUCAAAAGAACGUAUUAAUUGUGCAUAAAUUAUAGAGAAUAUUAAUAAAUCUGUUAUUGUUUUGUGCGAGAUGAUCAGGUGACAAAUAUGAGUAAGGAGGUGACAAAAAAAGUAUCUGACACUGCAGAAGCCAUCACAGACAAGGCUGCUUCAAUUAUCAAGGAAAAAGUAGUUGGCAAGUAGAUUGAUGCUUGCUGUCAUGAUCAAGAACACAAAGAGACUAAUAUUUUCAUUUCUAUUAGUUUCUUAAUUCCUUCAACUUUUUGUAACUUGCCUUUUCUCAAGUUGAUAAAUGUUCGAUUUUCUCUGUUUUUUACCUUCUUAAUUUAAUUUUCUCUGGAAUACUAACGUAGACAUUAUAAUAAACUAAAGACCUUAAGCUAGAUGAAACGCCUCUUGCGACGUUCGUGCAUGAUCUUGGGUUUAGAUGCUCUGUUUCUGCUUCAAAAUAUAUUAGGGCCAGGUGAGCUAUGGCUGUAUCAUCAACAAUAUCAUAUUAUACCUAGAACUGAAGUUGCUGCAAUAAACAUGCAUGGGCCGGCAACGUUUAGUGGCACCAGGACAUGGCUAAUUAAGUGAUCCUAGGUGGGAAUUCUGUGAACGGGCAGACACUACAUCAUCUAACCUGACGUCCAUGCCCAAUUAAGUGAUUGAGUUGAGAGCUAUUACCAUCUGUCAUUAGAAACACCAUAUAAAGACAAAGUAACCCUGCAAUAUAUAGAACAGACGAGUUACAUUAUGCGGCAAUAUACAAGAUGGUGCGCGCGCUUCAGCAUUGCCAAGUCUCCCCACUACCUGGCACAGUCUCUGAGAAGUCACAACAACUCUUCUUUUUUGAAUUCCCCAUUUCUGAGUUUUCCUAUCCAACAACUCUUCUUUUUUGAAUUCCCCACUUCUGAGGAUCAUUUUCAUCAAUAUGUCAUUCCAACCCUUAAGCAUUACACUUUCUGUCACUCUCAAACACUUCUUCCCUUGACUGGAAACUUGGCAUUUCCUUCCAAUUCCAGCAAGCCUGAAAUUCGUUAAAAAGAUGGCGACUCGGUCACACUAAUCUUUGCUGAGUGUAGCAAUGAUUUUAACCAUCUUGUAGAAAAUUAUGCUAGAAAUGCAUCUGAUUUCCAUUAUCAGAUGAUCUUCUAGCUCAACUUCGCCAGGGUCCAUGUCAAACGACACGCUGUUAUGGUGCUACCAUCUCAAAUUUCAUAUAUAAGGUCAUGAUCAGGAGGAAAAGAAAAACUUUUAGUGGUUACUACCAUGCUACGAUGGGGCUCCUGUCAGAGAUCUUAAAAGGGCUUGAGCUUGAAACUAUUUUUUGGUGGCCAUAUAUAUUUUUCAAUUUCUCUACCAGGAAGAAUUAGCCGACCAUUAGGCCAUGAAUAAAUUCGUCUGCUAAAGUCGUACACUCAUAUGUGUCGUAGUUUCAUGUUAAAUUUACUUUCUCACUUCUUUUUUUCUUCAGUCAAUAGGCGAUCUCUAGCAACUUUUCAUUUCUUAUGAGCAAGUUUUCACUCUUCCUUGCGCGUACAUCGUCCUUUUUUGAGUCGGCCUCACUCUGCUUCUCAAACAUUAAAAAAAAGAAAGCAAACUCUCACCCAGACUGCAGAACACUACUUUCGAUCCGAUAAUGAUAUUAUUAACCAAGCAAAUCAGGGGGGAGAAUGAAGUCAAGUCAAAUAUCUCUAUUUUACAGGCCAGGAUGAGCCUAAACUCGAUUACGGGAAGGCAACUAACUAAAUCUGUCUCCGUAUUAAAUUUCAAGUACAAGAGUUAACACUGAUUUCCAAUCAGGCCAGACCCAAUCCCAUAAAAGACUCUAAGAUCCUUCACGGGCCUUUUUCCUUUUCUCUGAUAAUUUGAGACCGAGUAAAAAUUUUUAGUCCGUCUUCGUAGUUAUAAAUCUCAAUCUAACUCAUAAAUUGGUUUAAGAUUAGAGCUGCUUGGGUUGAAUAGAUUUAACACCGAACCCAUUUCUUAUUCAAUCUUAUUCGAGAUUAAGAGGAACUGUGGACCAAUUUAUGUUUCAAAAUUUGAAAGACGCAUCUUCUAGAUUGCAAAUAUUGAUAUUAACAUGAGUUUCAGAUAAUUAAAAGAAUAAUUUACAUUGAUCACUAGUUUGUUUUUAAACGGUAAUGGUGUCGUGUCAUGAAAUAAUUUCGCCUAAAAGGGCAAGAAGGAUGGCAGAAAGGACCUAGCGAAGCAACGAAACCGGGGUUGAAAGGAAGCAUCAAAAGUGAUGAGCAAUGUCCAGGUCUUUAGUUUUUUUUUUUUAUUAUUAACGUGAUUUUUCGAGCCAGUUUGUGCGCACCUCAACUAAUCUCACAAAUCCUGAAAUUAACGACCAUGUAAACCUUCAGUGGUCCUGAGGUUUGUGAGACUUGAACUGGUGAUCUCUAGAUAACAAAUCUAAAACCUGACCAGUUGAGUUACAUCCCUCAGGAUUCCAGUUCUAUAGUUCUUGAUCUUGCCAGUGAUGAUCGUGGACUCGUGGUCUAUCUCUUGAGGCACAAAAACUCAAAGAGCAGCUGCAGAUCAAUUAUCCAGUAAUAACAAGCAUAAGAUGAAAUUAUGAGGCCAUGCAUUGGGCCACGUGGUUGCAUAUGAUAGUGCAAGACACAAACUACAGUCUUCACUGCUGAUGAUAGUGCAGUCCUUUCCAGGCGUAAAGUUGUGCCUUUGCUAAAGUAGCUCAGCAGUCUAAGAUCUUUGGAAAGGUACAAAUGGACUGUGUGCGAAUUUGGAAUCUAAUUCUUCGAUGUUAAUUGCCCAACUGGGAAAUGAGAAAAAGGUUAAACCCAGACCCCGUUUAUGCACGGACAGGGUGCCUGUUCAUGAAGGGAAUCAGAGACCCAACCCAUCAUGAGACCCACCCCAUUGGAGUUUAAUGGUCAAUCCAAUGACUUGAUGUUUGAGUCAGUCAAUCUUUUGUGAACUUUCCACUUGAUAAUUCCUUUCUAUCCAUCCUAGAAAUGUCUUAAUUUGAAUACUCUUCUCACUACUCAGCUUUCUAUACUCUCUCCAGUGAACCAGAAAGCAGUCCCGAGUCUUUGCUCAGCCAGCAGCAGGGCCCCUGGGAGAAACCUGAGCAACUAAGAAGAGAUGCUAGCUUGGUGCUGGGGUCCAAUAGACAUGGCCUUAAACCAAUCAAUUAAAGACCAAUUGUCCAAUGAUAUGAUGUAAUGUUUAUCCAUCUGGUUUUCCAAGAAGCUGAUCACUUAUCCUGUAAUUGUAUUGAUCUUUAUUCUAUCACUGUCUAUGCUAUCUAUAAAUUGGGACUUAAGAUUUGUAAGAAAGCAGAAGUUAUUCAGUGUCAACCUGACCCUUGUGGAGCAUUACAAUACCAAAAGCUAAAGCCUGCUAUUAUAUUGGCUCUAUUCGUUGUACUUCAUGUAGUAAUAACGAAUGCUAUUGACGUUUCCAUCUUUACAUUAUAAAGAACAAAGAGUUUCAAACUGACGAAACAUAUAAGAAACAAGCUUCUCCUCUACAUAGUUUUGUGACCAUUCAAAUUUCUCACUUGAAACCUGUUUUGGAGUUAGAAGACGAUGAGUAUAGUAACGAGGAAACAGAGAAACUUGAGUUUUUGCUCUUUGGAUACAGACUUUGCGUUACUGGCUUUGAUGAUGAUGUUGCUGGAACUACUCCACUCGAUUUCUUAUUUUCUUGAUUAUCAGUUGCCGGUGAUCCCUUAAGGAGCACGUCAACCUUUGCAUACUCCUCUCUUUCAUGUUUGAUCUCCUUAAGCAUUGCAGCCACGUCUUUCAUAUUUGGCCUUUCAUCAGGGGAUGAAUUUACACACAGCAAGGCGAUGCCUAAUGCUUGCAUCAUUUCUUCAAUUUCUGACGCCGGUCGAGGGAGUAGGCUUGGAUCUAACACUUCAAUUCCUCCCCUCUUCUGUCUCACCCAAUCCACCACAUGUAGUCCAUCUGGUAUUGUUGGAUCAAUCGGUUGCUUGCCUGUCAAGACUUCUAAUACCACCACACCAUAGCUAUAAACAUCACUCUUUUCUGUGAUCUUCAUCAUGUAUCCAUAUUCUGCGUACAACCGAGAAAUAUUAGUGCAGGAUUGUAUAUAUCAAAAAGGACAUAUGAGAACUGAACUGUAGCAAGAGGACUUACCAGGAGCAAUGUAUCCGUAAGAUCCAGCAACUGUAUUGGAUGACCGGGCAAAGUCACCAUCAUCAACAAGCUUGGCAAGGCCAAAAUCAGCAAUGUAAGGCUCAAAUUCAAGGCCAAUGAGGAUGUUAUUAGCCUUGAUAUCCCUAUGAACAAUUGGAGGGACACAAUCAUGAUGCAAAUAAGCAAGACCUUGAGCUGCUCCCAGCAAAAUUUGGUAUCUAAGUUCCCAUUCCAAUGCAUUUCCUGUUUUUUCAUGGAGGAGACUACCCAAGCUUCCAUUAGGCAUAUAAUCAUACAUAAGCAAUCUUGUAUUUCGAUUCCAACAACAACCCAAGAACCUAACAAUGUUCUUGUGCCUGAUGGAACCAAGUGUUUUCACCUCUGUCGAGAAGGAAUCACGGACACUACAUUUUUCAUCAUUGCAUCCGUUGGAUGCAGCCAUUGUAUUUGGCCAAAGUUUCUUCACUGCAAUUACUUCACCGUUGUCCAUAUCAGCACGAUAAACAACCCCGGAACAUCCUUUCCCAAUUACGUUGGUAUCCACCAGGCAUCUCAGUACUUGAUCGACCGAGAAAUUCAAUUUCUGGAAUGGAGUGAAUUGCCAGGGCCAUGAAUCGCCCAACUCAGAAUCAUCAUCAUCUCUGAUUGUUCUUCGUGCCCGCAUAAUUGCAAUUGCUCCCAUAAUCACCAUUGCUACAGUCAAUGUGAUCAACAAAGCAAGAGCUAGCUUAAGCUUUCGUGAUUGCCUUGUGUCAUUCUCAUUUCUUGGUAGCCCUGUCCUGUCAGCAUCCUUCAAGAAACACGAGUCCCGGAUUGAAGAACAUAAUCCUUGGUUACCUACCAAGUCUGUCGGCGAUAACUGUCUAAACAGCUUAUUAUCAGGGAGAUAACCGAUGAAGGCAUUGUAAGAUAUGUUGAGAGAAACAAGGUUGUCAAGCUCUGCAAGUGGACUUAAAUGUCCCUCAAGCUUAUUAUGCGAAAGGUCCAAUAUUGACAGCAUAGUCAGCGAAGAUAUCUGAGGUGGGAUUGGUCCUGUAAGUCGAUUGCAGCUGAGAUUGAGGGCAAUUUCAAGAGUUUCAAUUUGACCCAGUUCCAUUGGGAUGCUGCCAGUGAGCCCAUUGCUGCUGAGAUCAAGCAAUUGAAGACUAGAUGAUAGGCCAAGAGACAAAGGUAUUGAUCCAGAGAAUGAGUUCCUACUCAACAUGAGCUUGUUCAGUGAUGUGAGACGACCAAAACUUGCUGGUAUCUGACCAGUAAAUUGAUUAGCUGAAACAUCCAGGACCUGGAGGCCGGUUAGAGAAGACAAUGAAUUGGGCAGAGGACCCUGUAAGAUGUUGUUGCUAAGGUCUAUCAUUUGCAGUUCUGUGCAGCUUCCAAUCUCAUCAGGCACUGGCCCAGAAAGGCGAUUGCUGGAGAGAUCAAGAAAGUUCAAGAUCCCAAGACCUCCGAUUUCUUUAGGAAUGGUACCAGCAAUCCUGUUGUUACCAAGCCUUAAACGCACUAGAGAGCUACAGUUACCAAUUUCUGGUGGUAAAGCACCAGAAAUGUCAUUGGAUAUCAUGAGAAGUUUUGUGAGGUUUUGAAGUUGAAACAGGCCAGGAGGAAUGCUACCGGUGAGUGAAUUGUGGGACAAGUCUAGUGCUUGGAGGCUACUGCAACUAGCCAAACUUGAAGGAAUGCUUCCUUCAAGCUGGUUUUGCCAGGCAAAGAACACGGUGAGCUUCGACAACAUUCCAAGUUCAGGUGGGAUCAAACCUGAGAUCUGAUUUGUGUCAAGUUGCAGUUGCAAAAGGUUGGUAGCAUUUGAAAGAUCGGAUGGUAUUGAACCAGACACGUUGUUAUCACUAAUCAUAAACUCUUCAAGCUGAAAAAGGCGUCCUAUGGAAAUAGGUAUAGUCCCGGAAAGAGAAUUCAAAGAAAGAUCAAUCAUUUUCAAGCUAGUACAGUUACCAAUCUCUUCGGGGAUAGCUCCAAUAAGACUAUUUUGCCACAACAACAGUUGUUCAAGCUUAUGAAGUUUACCAAUCUCAGGAGGAAUGGAUCCAGAGAGACUAUUUUCGUAAAGAAACAAGUUUACAAGCUCAGAGCAGUUACCUAAAUCAGGAGGAAUCUCACCGGAAAGCAUUGUCGUAUAAAUGGACAGUGUUUGCAGUUUGCUUAGCUUUCCCAAUGAAACAGGCAAAGAACCUGAAAUUCUUGUAUCAGCCAGUCCCAAAACAGUCAAUUUGCUGCAAUCUGCAAGCUCAUCAGGAACUUUUCCGAUGAUGUCUUUGUUGCCUCCAGCUCUAAGGACUUGAAGACUGGACAGCUUGCCUAGCUCAGGUGGAAUAUAUCCAGCAAGACGGUUAUCGAAAAGAAGCAGAUUCUUGAGUCGAAAGCAGCUGCAUAGCUCAACUGGGAUUUUUCCAGUUAACUGAUUUGAGUUCAAAAUCAAGUUCUCAAGAUUUUGAAGCUUGCCAAUACUAGCAGGUAUGGUUCCAACAAGACUAUUAGAGCUAAGGUCAAUAAACUUGAGUGAGAGACAGUCACCAAUAUCAACUGGGAUAGUUCCAGUGAUAUUAGCAUCAGAAAUGACAAGUUUACUAAGAAAGUGAAAUGAAGAGAGGUUCAAUGAGAAAGGAAUCUGAAGAGGAACUGACUGAAUGUUUAUCUCAGUGACAAAACCUUGUGGAGAGCAAGUUAUGGAGGUCCACUUGCACGGUGUGGAAUCAAGAUUGUUCCAAUUAGAUAAAGAAGAAGGUAUUGAAGGAGAGGAAUGUAGCCAAGAAAAGAGAAUAGAGGCUUCAUGAUUUGGUAUUGCAGCAGCAGAAGCGAAAAGAAGAGCUGAGAGAAGAGUGUUAAGGAUAAAGAAAGAUAAUGAAGUAGGAGGAGGAGGAGGAGAAGAGAAGAGGAGGUUUUGCCUCGAGCUGGGUAUCGACAUUUGCCUCAAUUUCCAAAACUUUCUCCUCGGGUUUGCAUCAUUGGGUUUUGCUACUUCUACUUCUCUCUCUCUCUCUCUCUGGGCGCGCUGAAACAUUAUACUUCUUUCUCUUGCUUCGAACUCAAACUCAAAACAAGUACUAUAGUGUUCAGCACCUUUGCCUAGUGAUGCAAAACCAAAGCACAAACAAAACCGUAAACAAAAGAAAAAAUAACCCUCUAAGAUAUCAUUGAACAAAGUGAAAAACCAAUGCCUAGAGAUCAACAAACUGCUGCACCACCUCCACCUCCACCACCAUCACACACCCUCACCUAUAGGAUCCCACUGGUGUCUCACCCUCUUUCUGACAUACAAAAAAAUAAAUAAGGAUUUUGCUGGGAGGGUUCACGCGCAGAGAAGAGAGGCACCACAUGGGCACAUGACUUUUAAUAUCUUUCUUUGUUUAUUUGCAGAGAAUUGUUUAAUUUGUAUUAUUCAGCAGAGAAACAGGUUUGGCUUUAUUCUAGUUUAGUUUCUUAGACUCCAUUGCAAAUAAGUAUAUACACAUAGAAACUGUAGUAAAGAAAUGAAAGUGUGUGGAUAGCGUGUUGGUAAAGAAAUAAUACUAUGUAUAACAUGAAUCUUACAUUGAACAUGCCUUUUAAAAAUAGCUAAUCUAGGGUAUGCAUGGGAAAAUUCCCUUAUAUUGACCAUACAAAGCACGCUUUUCAAGAAAUAGGGUUUUCUCGAAUAAAAAAAAUAGUUAAGUUUGUGGAACUUAAGAUGCAAUAAAAAAAUAGUUAUGUAUGCAUUGCGUCUGUGUAAAAUUAAGAUGCAAUAUUUACCAUUCUUUUCAACAAGAAAAUCCUGUUUUUUUUUGUAUUGUCUGAUAAUCAAUCAAAAGUAUAUAAUGCAUCACUUUAUUUUGGCAAGUGACUACUUUAAUGUACAUUUUAAGGUUAGGAAGGAUAAGUAUAUGAGUAGCAACUGAAUUUGAAUAAUACUAUGUAUAACAUGAAUCUUACAUUGAACAUGCCUUUUAAAAAUAGCUAAUCUAGGGUAUGCAUGGGAAAAUUCCCUUAUAUUGACCAUGGAUUGUAUUCUAUGUGCUAUUAAUGGGUUUUUUUUAUCCAUGUAGAUUGAUCUUGUAUUGUAAUUAUUAUCAUAUUUGUUAAACAUAUUCAAGAUUUAAUAUGAUUAUAGCUUAGGUUAUUGGAAUUCAAAAUGAUAUUGUCAUGAAUUUUUUAACUAAAAUAAUGUUUUAACUAAAAUAAUGGAGCUUUGGAUAAAGAUUUUGAAAAAAUUAAAAUAUUAUUAUUUUAAAUUAUAUAUAUGUUUGAAUUGGCAUGUCAUCAAAUCAAUCUUAGCAGGUAGAUCAUAUUUAAUAAUUAUAAUUUUUAAAUUGAGUUAUGUGGAAACAAAUAGCAUUAUUUGAUAGUAAAAAGAAAAUGUUGUGGCAAAUAUUCCUUUUGAAAUCAAUUGGAUGGUUGAGAGUGUAAUUAUAGUUGUUUUUUAAAGUAUUUUUUUCUCGGAAAUGUAUUAAAAUAAUUUUUUUAUUUUAAAAAAAUUAUUUUUGAUAUCAAUGUAUCAAAAAUUUUUAAAUAAAUAAAAAAUAUAUUAUUUUAAAAUAAAAAAUAAAAAAAAUAAUUUUUUUCAAAAAUAUUUUUAAAAUACAAAAACAAACUCUCGUUGUUUUUAGUUUCAAAGUUGAAGAACUUUCAACGUCCCUUAGCUUGGGACUUUCCCGAUGGUUUUCAGGCCAACUCCAUUUUUGAAUAUCAUGUGAGGUUUCAAACGGUUUCAAGGCGGUGGACGUUCAACAUCAAAACUGUUAAGAAAGCUUCAGGCAGAAUAGAAAACUUCUGAAUAGUAAGGAUCAAUCUGGGAUUUUCUAUACUUAAAAUUAACCAACUCUUGAUCGGGGGAAGAAGCGAUGGAGAUUGAAGAACCUCCUCUCGUCUGAACGGGAAACAUACUUAAAGAACGGCACAGUAAAUCACCAGAUAAAAUCGAUCAAUCCAUCCUAGAAUAUUGAAAGGUAAUUACUUAACAAGUGUUUGUCAAAAAGUUCCCGACCAGAUGAACAGGGGGGCUUGAUAAAGUAUUUAGUUCUGUCACCACCAAGAUUAUAAGAUACAUAAUGCAUUAUGGACCACUUAAUAUUAAUUAGUUCUCUAGUGCCAAGAAUUUCUUCGAGGAUAGAGAGUGUGCUAAAUACAUAUUUUGAUUUCGAAUUCUCGUCAAGACAGAAAGCUUAGUACAGGGUGUUACAAAGAAACCUGUCCUCGCAGUGGUGUACCGCUUCACUCAUUUUAAUUUCUGGAAUGUGUGUUUAUUUCAAUCGUGGAGGUCGAGUUUUGUGCGUGAAAUCUAUCAAAAAAAAAAAAAAAAAAUAAGAAAGAUUAGUUUUUGUAGUUGAGUUUUGUGUAUAAUUGGAUUGUAUCGAUCACAAUCCCAAUCAUAAAAACUAAAAUAAACACAGUAUCAAAAGUCUCCUAUAUAUAAGGGGAUUUGUUUUGCAGAAAAACGCAAAUCAAUUUGUUUUGCAGAAAAACGCAAAUCAAGUUUGAAGUCUAAAUUAUAUUUCUAAAUCCACUUAUCUAUAAAAAAAACCUCAAAUUCAAAUAAAAUAUUUUCCAAUUCAUUUUGUUUGAUUCGAGUUAUCAAAUUAUAACUCCAAAAACAAAAAUACUUUUCAAAAAUACAACUCUAAUGUGCAAUCUUACAACUAGUUUGAAGUUUGAUAGGAUGCUCAAUGCCAUGUUUGAUAUUGUAAUCCAACCAUGCUUUUAAAAAUUUUAUUUUUUUAUAUUUUUUAUUGUUUUGAUGCGCUGAUAUCAAAAAUAAAUUUUAAAAAAUAAAAAAAUAGUAUUUUUAUGUGUUUUCAAGCGAAAAGUACUUUGAAAAGUAAUAUUUAACACACUCCCGAUAACGGUUGUUUUUUAAAGUACUUUUCGCUGGAAAAUACAUCAAAAUAAUAUUUUUUUUAUUUUUUAAAAUUUAUUUUUAAUAUCAAUGCAUUAAAACGAUCAAAAAAUAUUAAAAAUUAUAAUUUUAAAAAACUGAUGGGUUCCUUGGACAUGCAAACAGUCAUCUUUAACUUGCACUGAAAGUAACAAAGUGUGAUCAAGAUGAGGGUACGAUGAUCACUUGUUCUACAAGCUUGAAUAGUGUAAGAUCAUGCGCAGUACUAAGCGUGGGUAAGUAAUUAAUCUACAUUAAUUAAGCAAUUUUACAAAUAUUAACCUUAUUUUAAGUUUGAUUUAUCUGCAUUUUACUGUGUCCAGUCACGCUCUAACCGAGAAGCUACAGCCUACAUGGGUAGCAAUAUUUUUGCUUUAAAAAAAAUUGACCUGACAAACAUAUAUUUAAUAAGUAGGAGCAUCCUUCGAACGAAGAGAUUAGGUAGAGAUCACAAUCAGAUCCAAUGUUAUUAAUUUGUGUGUUUUUAAAUUUUAAUAUACUACAGGAGCAGCUCCAAAAUUUCUUAGGAUCAUGUAUUUCUUUAUGUUUACCUCUGGAGAAUAAAGACUUUUAGGAGAAAUAGUUUUUUUUUUGUGUUUCGAAUAAAUUUUAAGAAAAUUUUUUAUUUUUUAUUUUUAUUUUUAUUUUUAUUUUUAAAUUGUUUUGAUGUGUUGUUUUAAUGUUUUGAUAUUAAUAAUAAAUUUUUAAAAAUAAAAAAAAAUGUUAGUUUAAUGUAUUUUAAAAUAAAAAAUAGUUUUAAAAUAAUAUAUAAAAAAAAAGUCAAGGUCUGCCUGCACCGGCAUCUUCAGUACUGCGAGUCACCAAUAAAGUAAUAUAUUCAAUUUAAUGAGGGACUUGAAAAAUAUUUAACUAAUCAGUGUAGUCAAUUUUGAUUGAUAGUCAAGACAGUCCUCUCUUUUAUUUAUUGCCACUUGAUACCCACUUUUUUUUUUCUUUUUGGUGUACCAACCCACUUUAUAUGCGUAGCUUCAACGGCUACAUUUAAACAAUUUUCAUAGUUAAUUUAAGGGUACGGAUGCGCUAAAAAAAAAACCAAAAAAAAUAUUAAAUUAAUUUUUCAAUGUUUAUUUUACAUAUUUCAGGAGGAAUAUUAAAUAAAAUGUUAGAAUACUAUUUUCUUUAUAAAAAUAUCAAAACCUUAUAAAAUAUUAUUCAUUACGAUAGUGUUUUUUUUACUAGUUUUUUUCUUCCAAAUCUAUGUUUUUUUAGUUUAUUUGUAUAAGAUUAUCAUGAUCUUAUAACUCGUAUCAUGGGUUUGAAGAGUUCACUCGGGUUGAUUAAAGUUGUUUUUUUAUCUGUUUGUUAGUUGAAUUCUUUUCAAUUUUAUCUUUUAAUAUUUUGUUGAUUGAAAAUUAUCCGAGUUGUUUUUAGACCUGCAAAAUCAACAAAGUCAUAUUAAAUUAUUAAAAUAGCUAUAUAUAAAAUAUAUUAAAAUAUAAUUAGCUUUCCUAAAUAAUUUAUUUUUCAUUAGAUACAAAUAAAUAAAAAAUAAUAUUUAUAUUAUUUAGAAAACCAUAUUACUAAUUUACUUCUUUUUCUAGAUAUCAUUUCCCCUUAGGAAUCUACCAACCAGACAAGAUUUUAAUUAAUAGUCAGAACAAUCCUCUAUAUAGCUACUUGAUACCCUUUUUUUUUUUUUAAGUUGUUUACCAACCCACUCUAUAUGUGUAGUUUAAUUGGCUAUUUGUAAACAAUUUUCAUAGUUAAUUUGAGGGUGGGGAGUUCAGAUUUGUACGUAUAACACAGAUGAAUCAUGACGUGUUCGAGUGUUAUGAACAGGGAGGGACUGGUUUAGUUAACUAAUCUUAGUGAUUAACCUGAUGAAAAACAUGGACGGAGGGGGGCUUGAUGCAAUCCAAGACAUAGAUUAAGAGAUUGAUAAUCAUCUAAUAGCUGGUACAGUAGUAAGAGUUUGAGAUUAAAAUAUUUGUUUCCAAUGUGAUUUCAAGUUCGAGCUACAUGAUUGUUAAUAUGAUAAUCACUAGAGGUUUACAUGGUUAUUAACUUCAGGAGUUGUGGAAUUAGUUGAAAUACACGUAAACUAGCCCGGAUAUCUACAUUAAUGAAAAAAAAUCAAAUUGUUAAUGACCUAUCAUAAUAGCAGAGGGAUCUCCCAUAAUUUUUAGCCCAAAGUUCAUGAUCCAUGUAAAUGUUGACUGUGGUCACAAGAACAAGCCAAGGGCUAGCCAUCAUGAGGCCAGGGAGCUCCAAGUGGGUCAAUCUUACACCCCACAAUCAUCAAAAGAAGGGGAAAGGGGAAGGAAACAAAAAGGAGAAAGAAGAAGAAGAAGAAGAAGAAGGCAACCUUAAUUGUGGGUAAAAUAAUUUAAAAUCAUGAUAUGAACUUGGAGCACCGGAGUCGAUUGGGGAUUUUAGCUUUAACAUCAGCACAUCCCUGAUUUUGAGGCCAUAUCACGUGAGGAAGGGAAUCCAAAUUCUGUAGCCCACUAAUUGCCUGACCUAAACCAAAUCCUGUUUCACAAUCUUAUAUUAUUAUAUGCCAUAAACUAUACUGUAUAAUUAUAGUAUAUUGUUAUUAUAUGGAUAAAGCAAAUUAUUUUGUUCCAUGUAAGCCUUGAUGCCCCCUCGGAUUGUUUACUUUACUUUAUUUAGGACCAUAAAGGGCCAAAAAAAUAAAGCUAAACGGCGCAGCUUCAAGCCCCCUGUUUCAAGGGUCGUGGCCUCGGGAAAUCCCCCAAUGGGAAUCUAUACACGUUUUUGUUUCUGUCACAAACCUCACAAGUUAGCCCGACACCAAUGGCCAGUGUUAACUUUGGAAAAUGGUUGGAUGUGGGUAUAAAUAAUAUAGCUGGAAAUAAGGGUGAGUAAGGAAAUUAAAAAAUUAAUUAAAUUUAAAAAACUGAAAAAAAAAAUUAAACCAUGAAAAAAAAUCAAUUAAACCAAUUAAAAUAUUUUUCAAAAUAUUUAGUUCGGUUCAGUUUCACAAACCUGAAAUAAAAAAGCCAAACCAAACUGAAAAAAAUAAAAAAACCAAACCAAACCGAACCGAAAUCAAACCCAUUAGAAAGUUCAAAAAACAAUAUAGUUUUUUGUUUUUAAUAUAAAAUAACCGAACCGCAAUAAAACUGAACCGAAACCAGUCGGUUUGAACCUGUUUUGGUUUUAUUUUUUGUAUUUUACAAAAUUUUAGUUUGGUUGUUUUUAUAGGUAAAAAUCAAAUCGAACUGAAAAUGAUCACCCCUAACUGGAAAACAUGCUAUGAAGAGAGCACUCACACUAUUUGGCUGGUGGUUGACUGGCCCAAGGCCCAGGUCACCGGGUCAUUCCAGGUCGACUCCCAAUCUUUUUUAUAAAAUAAAAUAAUAUUGUUUUUGUUAAAAAAAAUAAAUAGUUAACGGGUUGUGACUGAAUUUUUGACCAGGUCAACUCAAAUUUUUAUCUUCCUCUAUUUCUCUUAAACUCGACUUGGUUUCAGCUCUAAAUCAGCCGGUUCAUGAAUCGACCUACCCGGGUCUUAAAACCAUUCUAUCUGGUCUGAGUAGUCACCGUUGGAUUAGGUUUUUAUUUUAUUUUUCUCUUCUGGUGAUGUGAUAAAAGAAAGCACCCACACAGUCACACUCGCUCGCUCUGGUUAAUACACUUGACGAGGUCCGGCGUAUCACCAAGGCCUUCUAUUACAAGUGGGCCUGGGCUGGGUCAAUGUGUCGUCAAUGACUUAAUGACCUGGUUUAUUAUUUUUGGGUUUGUGAAGGCCUCUUGGGCCUAUUGGAAUAGGUUAGAACCUUGAUUUCUGUGACCUCCUCUUCCUCUUCUUUUUUUAUUUUUUACAGUAAUACAUGCUAUGGCUCAGCUGCAACUACGUGGAUCUUUUUGCCAUAUUCUUAGUCCAUUAAGCAUCUUUGGACUCGAUUAUUGGGCCUAUUUUUUUCCCUCUGUGUUCAAUUAACGAAUCCAUUUCUCCCUGUCGUUUACUUCGGAAAAGCAAUGGAAAUGGCGGCGGCAAAAGCAGCGUCUGGGGUGGUGGUGUCACGGCCGCUGACAUUCGUGACCGGAAACGCAAAGAAGCUUGAAGAAGUCCGUGCAAUCUUGGGCCAAACCGUUCCUUUCCAAUCUCUCAAACUUGACCGUACAAUCUCUCUAUAUACAUAUCCCUGUCUCUCUGUAGAAAAUAUAAAAUUUAUGCUUCUGGGUUUGAUUGUUGUUGGCGUUUACAGUACCCGAGCUGCAAGGAGAACCUGAAGAAAUCUCUAAAGAGAAAGCUCGUUUAGCUGCCGUAGAGGUACAACAUGUACUAUCUCUGUGUGUGCAAUUUAUUUUUUUGUUAUGUGUAAACAAAUAUAUAAUGUUUGUAUUUCUAUUGGAAAUUGAAGGUGAAAGGGCCUGUUUUGGUGGAGGAUACUUGUCUUUGCUUCAAUGCCUUGAAGGGUCUUCCAGGUACUAAUGACCUUGUUUGUUUGAUAACUUGUUCGUGUUUAUUUAUUUUUGUAUGAUUUUUUUUUCCAGUUUAUGAUUUUUCGUGCAUUUGUUUGCAGGGCCAUACAUGUAAGUUGUGAUAAUUUUUUUCUUCUAUUAUCAAGGUGAAGUUUCGUUCUUUUAACAAGCCUUCUGAUUAUGGAUUACAUAUCGAAUUGCAUUUCUUUUCUUGUCUACUUUCAUAAAUAUCGAUCAGAGGAGUUUUAGAAUGAUUGUUGAUGGGAGGGAAAAUAGUAUCUAGGGAAAUUCCAACUUGAUGAAAGAAGGCCAAACAUGCCCAAAUCAUACUCCCGUGCUAAGCUGAGAUUUCAGUGGUUAGCAUGGAUUAUCCCCAUGACUGUAUUCAGAACACUUCACCAGAGCCAUGAACCAUCCCAUCUUUCCAAUAUUAGAAGGAAUGUGAUGUUGAAAAGAAAAUACAGUCGCGAGGAAUAUUUCAUUGGUUAACAGUUCAGGAUUAAGAUUUCUUGGAUCUUCUCAAGCGCCUGGAUUAAGCUUUCAGUAACCUUUUCUUCUCAAAAGAUGUUCUGUUAAGUUGUUUAAUCUUUUUCUAAAGAAGUAUGAUUUAUCCAUCAUAAUAACAUGCAAAUAGGCCGAGGUAACAGUGUUGACAUGAUAAUCGACUCUGUCAACAGAUAUAACUCAUCUCUUCACCUGCUUAGAAUGUUCAUGAACACAAAGGUUCCAUUUUUUCAUUUUAUAUGCAAUUCCAACCUUGUUCUGUUCAUUGAGGUAGAGUAGAAAGAACUGGAGGGGGUCAUUUUUUCCUAAUACUGCGUUGCCCUUGCCACAUUAACUCCUCCAGAAUAUCUAAAUGACAUAGGAGAUAAAGGUGUUUGAUGCUCAACUUGCCUUAUGCUUUUUGCACACCUCGUCUUUCGUUUUUUUUAUCCUUUUGUGCCUGAUGACUUAGAAGAUCUUGCAUGAUUCUACCUCUUCCCUUCUUUUUUUUCUUCUUUUCAAAGGAAGAUUAAUGAGGUCUACGAUUUUUGUUUGUAUUUCUUUGUAAUGAUAUUGGCAAGGUUCCUAUCUCCUCUAUUUCUUUGAAAAUAAAAAAUUAUUAAUUUUAUCAAGCUCGACCUCGAGUUUUAAAAGAUUCAACAGUUCAGUAUCACCAGACAAUAAAGCGUUCAUCUAGUAGUUUUUUGGUAGUAUUUUCAAGAAUAUAGUUGUAACGAUCUUGUUUUGUGGUUUUUCUCUGCCAUCAUCUAACAAGACUAUCAAUUCACGCAGCAAGUGGUUUCUGCAAAAGAUUGGUCAUGAAGGUCUUUCUUUUCAUAGUCUUUUGUUCCUAUCAUUUUUAUGUUGUCAUUUUUGUUGGUUUCUUGUACAAAACACCUUAUGUCUUUUCUCCUUUCCUAGGUCUGAACAACUUGCUGAUGGCAUAUGAGGACAAAUCAGCCUAUGCUUUAUGUGCAUAUUCUUUUGCUCUUGGGCCUGAUGCUGAACCAAUUACAUUUCUUGGAAAAACUCUGGUACAUUUUCAAAACUUACAAGAAUGUAACAAAUAUUCCUACCCUGAGUCUCUUUUCUUUUAAGAUUUAAUGCAUCUAUAAUGCAAAUAACUGUUCCUGAAUCUUUUAUGCAAAAUAAUUUCUAGCCUAUGUUAUUUAGGAGGCCACUGUGCCAUUUUAAUUUGAAGGGAAUUAUGACCGAACUUUGACUACGAUCUUUCUCUUAGCAGUAACUUAUCCUAUGAAUUUUAUGUUGUGUCAGUGAUGCGUGUAAGAGCUGUCUAUUAAUAAUGAAUCAGAUAACUUUGUUGGUGGCUAUUUCAAGAAAAAGAGCACACACAUGCUGCCUUGACCCUUUUGUUUCAUAUAAUUUCCUGGUCAGUUAAUCAAAAUUUUCAAAUAUCAAAACAGAUACUUCUGGCUCCACCUUUUCCAUAACACUUGAAAAAUGUUACGAAGAGUUGAAGGAUUAAUUGCAUUGGGAACAUGUAUCUAGAUUACUUAUAUCUACUUCAAUUACGUUUGCUAUUGAGUUUUUUUUUUUUUUCCUUUUCUUUUCAUUUUUUUUUCUCACUUAGUCAAGGCCUACAUCCCAUUCUUAGUCAUCUGAAUACUUCUGGAUGGAUGAUAAUCUUGCUGAAGUUCUUGGUUGAAAAAUGCAAUAGUCUAUCAUAAGAAUAAAAAAAUCCUGGAAGAAGCUGCAUGAUGCUUUUUAUUUACAAUCCAGACAAAUAGAUGACUAAGGAAAAUUCCAUAAAAUAGGAUUUAGGAGUCACUGACUCAUUGCUUUGUCCUUUCCUGUCAAGAUUAUUAAACUCAAAUCAGGAAAAUGAUUUUCUGCUGUAUGCUUAAGUUGAGAAAUCAUAAUUAUUUUAAUGAACCAAAAAUAUAUAAUUUCAGAUACAGCUAUUUCUCAGGAAAACUGACAAAUACUAGUUAAAAGUUUAAAAUUAACAACAUACAAUCUGUGGCUUUAUUUUUUAGGGGAAGAUAGUUGCAGCGAGGGGACCUAAUGAUUUUGGAUGGGAUUCAAUCUUUCAACCUGAUGGCUAUGAGCAAACGUAAUUUUCCGCUUUGAUUCCUGCUGUUUUGGCCCAGUCUUGCUUGAUAAUUGAACCAAGAGGCAGCUAGAUUAUAUUAAUUUUCCUCUUUUACAGUUAUGCAGAGAUGCCAAAGGAUGAAAAGAACAAGAUUUCUCACCGUUCCAGGGCUCUUGAUUUGGUUAAAUCCCACUUUGCUGAAGCUGGAUACAUUUUCGAGACAAAUGACUCUAAAAAGAGUGAGCUAUAGUAGAUUUUUGGCAGUUAAAAAAGAUUUACUUGUGCUGCAGGAUCCACACUUGCUUAUUUCCAUGAUUGUCUUAUGUUAGGAAAAAAGGACGAGGAAUAGAGAAGGGUUCUUUUAGAGGGGGGGGGUCAAGAAGAAGGAUUUCCGUCAACUGUACUGCUAUUCUGCUGCGUAGAAAAAGUCAAAGUAGCUGUUUAACAUAUAUGAAUGAUUUCCCUCUGAACUGAGGUGGAAAAGUAAAUGUUAAAACCUUAAUUGAAAAGCGAAAUUUUACCUCUGACUCUCUUGGAUGAUCAUCUGUUUUACCAGGAAAGGAUGCUCUGGUUAAUAGUUAAUAUGAAACUUUUGAUAUCUCAUUGCAAGUGUGCAGAUUAUAUUAUUGCAUGUUUGUUACCUUUUAAUUAUGAUAAGUGUUUUUGAUAAGGCUGGUCGGGUCAACCGAAGCACUAGAAACCUGGUCAGGUUAAUUGGAUCUUACCAGGUUAAUAUCUUGUUUGUUGUACCAGUGUUUUAAGACCCUGGAUGAGUUCAGCUUGACAUUGAAUUGUUAGCGCUAGCGUUUGAACUCUGUAGCUUUCACCUCUUUAAGCAGAGAUUCUCUAUGUGAGCAGAUAUCACCAGCCUAGCGGCUUGUACCAAAUGUUGCAAAAACAGGCGUUAAAAUUUCCAUUCCUAGGCCACCUUUUUCUGCCCAAACAAGUCAGGCACCAUAUGUAGGUGAAAUCCAGAGUUUGGGAUCAUUCUAUGUCUGCUUAAAAAAACAAAGGGCACAAACAUCAUAUCCAUUGCACACAUUUAGUCUAUUAUAAUGUUAUGAUAGCAAUUAUAAGUCUAUAUUUAUGUCUAAGAAAAUUGUGAAACAGUUUUGGUUCAAUUGCUGGGCACUUCUAUGUGACAAGCAGCAUUCAAUCCUACUAUUCUUACCCUACUCGUCCAAGUUGUAGCCAUCAAUCAUGUUUUUCAUAAUAGAGAAGUUCGCCUGCCUUAACUCUUGGGAUUUCUUUUAGAUUUUGUGGAUGACGAUCAUGACAAUUGACAGAUAGUCUUCCCCACAAUCAUAAACGGACAACUUGCUAUCCUUUCUGGUAUUCAUCUCCUAGACUUGUUGUCCUAAGAUUCUGAUCUUACUAGAAUCUCAGGAUUCCCGAGAAUAAUGAACAAGCAGAAAGAUGCCCUCAUACAAUUCUGUUCAUGAUUUCUUUGGUAGAAUUCAUUCGACACCUAGAAAACUUCCUAUAAGGACUAGUUUGUGUUUCCAACAUUUCAACAGUUUGUCAUUUUCCAGUUUGUCCAUAACAUUUCAUUGUAUUUUGAAAGGAAUUCACUCCAAUGGUGGAAUCUGUACAUUUUAGUGUGAAAACAAUAAAGCCAUACUGGGAAUUAAUGAAGCAGAGCAACGAACGAUGCUAAAUGUAAAUGGCUAACUCUGGAGAAGGCUCUGAGAUGACAGCGCUAGCAACGUUCACAUGAAAACCAUGUAUUGUUGUUACAUGUUCAACUUGGCUAAAAAAUUAAAUUGGCCCCAUUUCUUACAGGUACAGAACUUCUCACAUGCCAUAUGGGACCCUGACUCACAGCAAAUCCAUGCGUUUUUAUCAUCUUUGCAUGUGAAUCAUACCUGUUAACCACCUCUCCUUCGGGUUAUCCUCUUCCUUCUGUAGCCAUCGGCUAAGAAGCAUCACAUGUUGAGAGACUUGUGCAUAAAUCAACAGUUCCGUUAUUGCCCAAAAACCAUGGUGGUGGUGGUGAUUGUGAACCACAUGGAAGGGGACAGGAAGUUCACCACGCCAUUGUGAGUGGAGGGGCGUCAAAUGUCCAGUCACUGUUUCUUGAAAUGAUUUAUAAGGGGUUUAAUUAGCUGUAUUGAGAAGAUCUAUAUGCUCUGAUAUUCCACCCAAAGCAGCAAGGCAGAAUGUGCCGUUCUGGUGGUGGUUCAACCUUAAUGAAAGUUUUGCUUAUUCAAUCUACCAUUUGGAAGUAGGGAAAUUUAUAGCAUUUACAUUACGGUUUCAAGCUCAUGAGUGAUCUUAUUAUCAUAGAUGCUCUGUUGAUUUAGAUUCAAGAUAUAUUUACUGAAGUAAGAAGUCGUCGCUCCUCAAGGCCCUGGCCAGCAAUGAAUCACGAGGGAUUCCAUUGGACAGGUGAUGAUGUUAGUUAUUAGUUGGUUAAUAGCUUUAUAUCAUGUGUAGGCAGCUGGUGCUCACAUGAUAAAAUCAUUUCUACCAUAGAACAAGGGAUCAUUUGUAAAUUGCACAAGAAAAAGUAAAGAUACGCAAAGCUUCCAUUGCCAAAGAAAAAGCAGAAAAAAGGUAAGAGGUAAAGAACUUCAUUGCUAUUUCUUUGCACUCUGUAACAAAGUUUUUCCAUCGACUCAGAUUUGAAAUCCAUGGUACUGCUUGCUUGUAUCACUAGACAGAUAAAAUUAAAAAAAAAAAAAGGAAAGGAAAGAAAGAAAGAAAGAAAGAUCACAAAUCAUUCAAAUCCUAUAGACUCAAAAGCCUAGACAGUAUGUGGAGAUCGACCAAGACUGACACUGUAGAUAUAGAUGCAUGACUGGUAGCUAGAAGUAAAGGAGAUGUGGAACUGGAAAGGGCAAAAGAAAUGGAAGGAAAGAGGUGAAAGAAAUAAAAUGAACAACGCUUCUGCGCCUGCUCUUCUGGAUAAUGGUAUAAGGUGUUGGUUUUCAUCUGAAGCAGGCCGAGGUUGAGAAAUAACAGAGACAAACUGGAAUGGAGAUGCCGAGAUGGUAUAGGUAUGACACGUGUAAAAAUUGUACACUUGCCAAUAUAUGUGAUGAAUGCAGAUAGAUAUGACAGAAACAAUGGCUGGGACACGAGUAACAGGCAGAAGUAGCAGGACUAUAUAGUUGUAAGAAAAAAUUAAAGGAAAAAAAGAGAGAGAAAACCAAGUGGCCUCUUUUUGACCACUUAAAUUUGACUGAAAAGACUAGCACUGAUGGCCCCUGCGGCAGCCAAGAACACCGGAAUUAGCAGUCAUUGCUCCGACCAUGGAAGAAGACUUGGCACCCAAGCUUGAAGCGCGAGCAUAGCUAGCUGAAGCUCCAGCCCCGGAUGGAGUGAAGUAAGCUCCAUUCGCCAACAGGUCUCCUUCUGACCUCCAAUUCCAGCUUUUCCAUUUGCCUGGAGCUGUAUC
rnacentral:lncRNA from 1 species